rnacentral:lncRNA from 1 species
UAACUCAAGAGAGAGUCCACCCUAGAACAACUUAAAUCGUGCAAGGCACAACUCCUGCUCAAGUCCAAGACUCAUGAUCCUUUCUACUCAAUCAGAUCAUCAUCGUCAUCAGGAAGAGGUUGUGCAGCUGCUGCAGCAAGCUCAGCUUCAUGCCUGAGUAAAUGAAAAGUGAAUCAGUUCUCGCAACAUUUCAAAUUGAGGAGACAGAUUAAAAGGAUAGUAGGACCAUAAUGAUUAUAAGUUGGAUAAGACAAAAGGUGACACUCACUGCUGCUGCAUAGCCAUGUCGAUGGUAACUUCCGGAGGCUUAAGAGCAACAGCUUCAACAAAGUGAAGGUUCGGAUCACUGUUAAAAACAAUGACAUUGUCAAGAACAAACAUAAGAGUGGUGGUAAUUGGUUGUGACUACUAAAUGCAAUGCACAGAAGUAGGGUAGUCAAUUACCCAGCCAGCUUCCUUGCAAGGUACAGGAAAGGUUUCUCAAAGUUGUAGUUGCUCUUGGCAGAAAUUUCAUAGUACUGCAGAUUCUUCUUCCUGUGGAAAGUAACCUGCUUGGCUUUGACCUGCCUGUUCUUCACAUCAACCUUAUUACCGCAGAGGACAAUGGGGAUGUUUUCACAGACCCUGCAUGAAUUCAUAACUGGACAUCAAAAUUUUCCAACAAAAUUAUACAUCAGUACAAGUUUACGACAAAGAAAGACAUCAACAUACCUGCACAGGUCCCUAUGCCACGUAGGAACAUUCUUGUAAGUAAGCCUUGAGGUUACAUCAAACAUGAUGAUCGCACACUGGCCAUGGAUACUGAAUGGGAACAAAAAACAGAAAGAGCAUCAGAGAAUGUAACAAAAAUAGUUAAGUACUAAAAGUAUACAUUGAUUUUACAGCAUAUGUACACACAUUAUUUCAGACAUCACAAAUAAUACUUACUAGUAUCCAUCCCUGAGGCCACCAAACUUCUCUUGCCCUGCGGUAUCCCAGCAGUAGAACCUGAUCUUACCACAGUUAGUGGUGAAAUCCAACGGAUGAACUUCCACACCAAUGGUUGCUGAAACAACAAAAUGCAUUAGAGAAGCUGGAAGUAUUAAUGAUGAUAACUAAAUGAAGAAAAUCCCAAUCAAUGUGGUACUUACGUUCAUAUUUCUUCUCAAACUCUCCAGUGAGAUGCCUCUUCACAAAUGUAGUUUUACCUGCAACAAGAAAACAUCAGUGAGAAAAGUCAUACAGGUCAACAGAUGAGAAUAUAAUAGGACAGGUGUGAUGUAGAGAAUAUAAAUAUUAUUGAAUCUAAAGCCUACAAGGGCGCCAUAACAACUGAAAUUCAAACCAUCUAGCUUAUGAAGGUUGCAGAUAAAUGUAACUGACAUCCUAACAGACAAAAGAGUAUUCAACAAACAACCAUGUUAUUUCCAUUCAAGAGCCGUGCGACGACAGAAUUUCUAUGCUAUAAGGAUUCAAAAUAUUUGAAACACGAAAUGAAGAACCUCCGCCUCAAGUUUAGUUUCAUUGCAUCACAUCUGAGGCCUUACAUUGAAUAGCAAACGGAUUUGAUACAACACAGAAUAUGAUAAUAAAAGCGAAAUACAAAUACAAGUUCUUACAAUUUUUUUGAAGUGUUAAUACGACAUUAGGUAGAGGGUAAGGAGACUCUAUGAUCCUAAGGUACAAUAUAUUUCUAUAGAUUACUAUAUGUGAAUAUGAAUUCUAUUGAGUGGAAACAACUACGGCAUAAACGUGAUUAGGAAUCAGUACUAGUGGAACUGUGUAAUAUUCCAGUCACGUCACGGAGGUCGUGAGGACACUAUGGGAGACAGCCACUAUAAUUCUAAGAGGCAUAAUAUCAACAGAUUGCACACAGCGCCCAAGUCCAAUCUGCCAGAUCUCGUAGAAACAUCGGCAGCUUCUACCAUUUCUAACAACCAAUGGAGACACGGAGCCAUUCGGAAACUCACCAGUUCCACCAUCGCCGACGAUGACGAGCUUGAAGCUGGGGUAAUCAACGGUCCCCUGAUUCGGCAGCGCCUGCAAAAAAAAACAUAUCGGGUCAGAAACACGCAGCCGCAGAUCCGGGGAUCAAACACGGCGGAGAUCGGAUCCGUGCGGGGGCGGGGCGCUCACCAUCUCGGUCACACGCGAGGGGGGCCGCGCCUGAUGCUGCGGCCUUCGGAGCUCGGGGUCGGAGAGCAGCAAAACCCUAGAAUUCGAAACGGAGUUUGGCGAGCCGCCGGUGGAGGCGGAGGGUUUUAUAGCAGCGGUGGCCUGCUGGUUGUUCUUUACUCGCGACUGCGGGGCUUGAUAGCUUUGAAUGGACGCAGGAGUUGUGGCCGACGGAUGGUAGCCGGCUAGCUUUCGUCCCACGCGAGAUUUCUGACCGUCCGAUCCGAACGGUGAUGUGGAUGGGGUGUGGGCCGCGUGGGCUAUAUCUUGUGUUCGCUAAUGGCCAACUCAUCCUCCGUUUUCUUUCGCAAUCGGUCCAAAGUAUAUUAAGUAAUAUUCUAUGUAACGAGGUAAUUACAGUGUCAUUCAUACAGACCCACGCGUUCCGCUGACAGGUGGGUCUGAGUGCGCCCUAUGAAGAACCGUGUCGAACAGUACGAAGUAUAACUGUUGUCAGUGUCCUCAAAUGUCUUCAUGCUAACUUUCCCUCAAUCGACGGCUGGUUGUGCGGUAGUGAAGGAGUCGCCUCCAGAGCACAGGGAAGUCCCCAAUUCCCCUUCGACCAACUGGGCCAAACGGAGGUUGAGCGAGGGCUCCACAUCGCAUGGGUGACGAGGACUUCACUCCCCGGGUGUGGCGAAGUCGUGGUCAUCUGGCUGCCGUCCGGCGCAACCCCUCAAUGUCGGGCCCGUUCCAUCGGAGGUCUCUUUGGUCGGAAUCCAUGCACCAAGGAACCUGCGAAGGCAAUUGAUGGCGAAGUAGGGUCUUUGUUAGUUUAGAACGAGGGUGAGUUUAGUCUCCGCCUAACAUGGUCUUCGCUCUACGAUGAGGUUGUACUCGGUCUCCUCCCCAACAAUAGGAAUUACCGAACAAGGCCUUACUGAGUUAGUGAUUUGAUAAACAAUUACAAACUACAAAGGGGUUCACUGACUAUGUGUUGCUUGCUUAGACAAAUACACGCAGGGCGACCCUAGCUUGCACAUCGAUAUUGGGUCUAGCCCCAUCUCUACGCAUGCAACCAACGUCCUCUAAAAUACCUUGCACUCACGGCUGCAAUCCUUAGCCCAUCACGAAGGAAACCAAAUAGGUACAAUUAUUCGGUCAACACACACCGCUGGACUCGACGCAUAUACCUAGGUAACAAAACACGUGCAAUGAGUAACGCUCAAUUAUUCAAUAGACAAAAAACAUGUGUCCAAGUCCAGGAGUCUCCAUUAAACUUGGAUUUCGUAACUGAGGAAAAGCCCAUCGAUAUGGCACAUUCAUCCGUAUUUGGUUGCCAUAGACAUCAACACUUGCGACUGGAUUGAGUUCACUCUUUUCUACCACGGCACAGCUACGUGUAUGGCCAAUUCCUCAAUGGGAGAUGGUAGGGAGCCCGGCAUCACAAACCAUGUCUUAUCUCUCACCCCACCCCACCACCCUCCCAAAAAAACCUAUAUAUGUGAAAAAAUAGGGUUUUCCAAGUUUAUGAAGCAUAUCAUAAAAACAUCACCCUGCUUGCUUGGCUUUAAUUUAUACUGGUUUCUACUGCUUCUACAAUGUUUUUAUCUCUUUAUAUUGCAGUUGAAGCUGUCCAAACAACUAGAUUUAAUCUGAAGCGAACAAAAUAUAAAAUGCUUUCCACACAAUCAAUGAAUGAUACUAGCUAUUUCAUAUCACAAGAUGUUAGUAUUUUUUUCAUAGAUUUAAUCAAUUUUAAAAUUAUUUAAAUUCUUAAGCUUAAAAGUGUAAAAUGUAUUCCUUUAUAACGGAUGGACUAGUAGAGCAGUACGUAGAGAUGAUAAUGAGCUCUAAAUUUUUAAGUAUAAGAUUAGAUUAGGAUCGAACACUAUUUUUAUUCAUUUUUAAAUUAAAAUCAAUUAAGGGAUCAAAAUAAAUUGUCAAGAAACAUUUGGAUCGAUGGUCCAUUACUUCUCUCAAACGAAGAGUGUUGAUCUCACACGAUCAGAUCAAUAAACAGAUCUAGGCACCCCAAGGGAGCGUGGAACUGUUACCCCACAUAACAAAUAAGUGCUGAAAUGGUAUUCAUUGUUCCGGCCUAGAAUUCAUAAUCGUAGGAACUCCAAUCACUAGGAUAAAAUGAGACGAGUCCAUUCGUUUUUAAACUGUUCAGGAACCACCGAACCGAUAAGAAUCGGUGCAAAAACGAUUUAGGUAGUUUUCGAUCGUUUUCGUAACUUUAGUUUCCGAGUCGUGAUGAUACUUUGAUUAUCGUUUUUAUAUAAUAUGAGAUACAUCUAACCUAUACUUUAUGCAAGUUACAGUUUUUUUUGUUGGGUUGAAGUGAAUGAAUAAGAGAAACAAAAGUUGUUAUUACUCUAAAUACUACGAAUAAUAAAAAAAGUUGUUUGUAUAUUUUAAUAUAUUAAAAAUUAGGCAAUAUGUCACUUUAUUAUAUAUUUAUGGAAACUACGAAAUAUGUGUUUUCCCGACUAAAGUUUACGUUUUCGGUCAUUUUCGAUUAAACAACAAUUCCAAUCUUGUAUUUUCUCGACUUCAUCUUAAAUCAAAAUAUCAAAAUUUCUAGAUAGACAAGUUUUCUAGAGUACUACGACGCAACUAGCUCACAUGUAUAUAUCAACCUAUAGUACCAACGGUGAAUCCAACGGGUAUGCCAGGUAUGCACUGGCAUACCCUGCAAAACAAGUAUAAUGUAUAUAGUAUAUAUGGUAUAUAUAUAUGUACAUAAUAUAGUAUUUCAUUUGAACAAUUUAUAUCAAAAAAUGUUGUCGUAUUGUAUAUGGUUUUAUCAAAUUCGAAUAUCAUUUUACCGAAUCAUAAAAUUGUUUACCGAAUUGCAUAAGGCAUUUUUGUAUCGCAUACCCUAUGGUUAAAUCCUAGGCCCGCCAUUGUACAGUAAUGAUCUCCAAAAAAACAUCUAUACAAUUGAGAGGCAUAACUCGACACCAGACACACGAUGAUACGAACUAUAUCUACUACUACUCUUUAAGGUUGUAAGUGAAAGGGAAAUGUGCCCUUGGGCCAUUUCUAUGUAUUUUGGUGAUUGAGUGCCAACACAUGUGCUUAAUUGGGAAUUUAUGUACAUGGAUGAACAAGGUGAAAAUCAUGAAGUAAAGGUAUGUUUCUAAGCCUUAGUACAUUGGUUUUAAGUACUAAUAUAUUUGUCUAAGUGUUAGAAACAGAAAGAAGAAGAAUAGAGAAAAGGAGAAGGGACUUGGCUGUGUGCUGCCAAGACCCAGCUCGGUCUGGAGCACCGGACUGUCCGGUGUGCACCGGACAGUGUCCGGUGCGCCAGGCUGGCGCGACUCGAACUGGCCGCUCUCGGGAAAUUGGCCGGCGGCGUACGGCUAAAAUUCACCGGACUGUCCGGUGUGCACCGGACUGUCCGGUGAGCCAACGGUCGGCCAGGGCCAACGGUCGGCCGCGCAAUCCGCGCGGGACACGUGGCCGAGCCAACGGUCGGAAGACGGCACCGGACUGUCCGGUGUGCACCGGACAUGUCCGGUGCGCCAACAGUGCCAGAUCUGCCAACGGUCUGCAACGGUCGUCUUCGCCGUUUAAGGAAACAAAUCGGGCACCGGACAGUGUCUGGUGUGCACCGGACUGUCCGGUGCCCCCGACGACAGAAGGCAAGGAUGGCCUUCCGGAUUUGCUCUCAACGGCUCCUAGCUGCCUUGGGGCUAUAAAAGGAGCCCCUAGGCGCAUGGAGGAGACACACAAGCAACCUUUGAGCAUUCUUGAUCAUCCACACUAAGUCUCUGCGCAUUCGUUUGUGUUUCUAAGUGAUUCGAGCUCUGUUCUAAGUGAGAACUCUGAGAUAGUCUUGUGAGCUCGAUUCUUGGCCGUGUGUGUGCGCUUUUGCUGUGGAUUUGUGUGUGUUGCUUCCCUCCCUUACUCUGUGUUUCAUUUGUGAUCAUAUACUUGUAAGGGCAAGAGACUCCAAUUUGUGGAGAUUCCUUGCAAACGGGAUAGUGAAAGGAAAACAAAACACCGUGGUAUUCAAGUGGGUCUUUGGACCGCUUGAGAGGGGUUGAUUGCAACCCUCGUCCGUUGGGACGCCACAACGUGGAGUAGGCAAGCGUUGGUCUUGGCCGAACCACGGGAUAAAACCACUGUGUCACUCUGUGCUUGAUUCUCUUGUGGUACUAUGUUUUGUUGAGAUUGUUGAGACUUCACCUUAGCCACUUGGCAAUAAUCGUGCUAACACUUAACAAGUUUUUGUGGCUUAAGUUUGAAGUUUUUACAGGAUCACCUAUUCACCCCCCCCCUCUAGGUGCUCUCAAUUGGUAUCAGAGCCGUUCUCUUCAAGAAAGGGACUAACCGCCCGAAGAGAUGGAUCCUAAGGGGAAGGGAAUUGUGAUCAACGACAAGGAGAAGGAGUCCUUCGUCAACGAGCCAAGGGAUGACAAGUCCAAUGACUCGGGCUCGGGCCACAAGCGAAGAGAUGGGAAGAAGAAGAAGACAAGACGCAUCAAGGAGAUCGUCUACUACGACAGCGAUGAGUCUACUUCUUCCCAAAAGGACGAGGACCACAACAACUACGAGAGAAGAAAACCGGUUAAUUCGAACUUUUCUUUUGAUUACUCUCGUAUUCCGCAAAGUUCACAUUCUCAUUUGCUCUCCAUUCCACUCGGCAAGCCCCCACACUUUGAUGGAGAGGACUACGGAUUUUGGAGCCACAAAAUGCGUAGUCACCUAUUCUCUCUCCAUCCUAGUAUAUGGGAGAUUGUAGAGAGUGGAAUGCAUUUUGAUAGUUCGGAUAGUCCCAUGUUCAUUAAUGAACAAAUUCAUAAGAAUGCACAAGCUACUACUGUUCUUCUAGCUUCCUUGUGCAGGAAUGAAUACCAUAAGGUGAGCGGCUUGGAUAACGCCAAGCAAAUCUGGGACACCCUCAAGAUUUCUCAUGAGGGGAACGACGUCACCUUACUCACCAAGAUGGAGUUGGUGGAGGGCGAGCUUGGACGGUUCGCAAUGAUAAGGGGCGAGGAGCCAACGCAAACAUACAAUCGGCUCAAGACCCUUAUCAACAAGAUAAGAAGCUACGGGAGCACGCGAUGGACGGACCACGACGUCGUCCGCCUAAUGCUAAGGUCAUUUACCGUUCUUGAUCCUCACUUGGUGAACAAUAUACGUGAAAAUCCCAGGUACACCAAGAUGUCACCCGAAGAAGUUCUUGGGAAAUUUGUUAGCGGGCAAAUGAUGAUCAAGGAGGCGAGAUAUGUGGACGACGCCUUGAAUGGUCCGAUCAACGAGCCGCAACCUCUCGCUCUCAAGGCAACACGAAGCAAGGAGGCGCUACCUAGCAAGGUGGCACAAAUUGAGGCGGCCGGACUCAACGAUGAAGAGAUGGCUCUCAUCAUCAAGAGAUUCAAGACGGCGCUAAAUGGUCGCAAGGGGCAGCCAAGCAAGACCAAGACCAAGGGGAAGCGCUCAUGCUUCAAAUGCGGUAAGCUUGGUCAUUUUAUCGCUAACUGUCCCGAUAAUGAAAGUGACCAGGAAAAGGGGAACAAAAGAGAAAAGAAGAAGCAAUACAAGAAGGCAAAGGGCGAGGCGCAUCUAGGAAAGGAGUGGGACUCGGAUUGCUCCUCCUCCGACUCCGACAACGAAGGACUCGCCGCCACUGCCUUCAAAUCGGCUCUCUUCCCCAACGAGCGUCUCACAUGUCUUAUGGCAAGGGAGAAGAAGGUGAGUACUCAAGACUCCACUUAUGCUUCUUCUAGUGAUAGUGAGUCUAGUGAUAAUGACAUAGAUUAUUCAUACUUGUUCAAGGGCUUAGAUAGAUCUAAGAUAGAUAAAAUCAAUGAAUUGAUUGAUGCAUUGAAUGAAAAGGAUAGGCUUUUAGAAAAGCAGGAGGAUUUAUUGUAUGAUGAACAUGAUAAAUUUGUAGAGGCACAAAAAUCAUAUGCUUUAGAAGUAAAAAGAAAUGAAAUGCUUUCUUAUGAACUAUCUACUUGUCAUGAAACCAUUUCUACUUUACAAGGUGUUAACAAUGAUUUAAAUGCUAAGUUAGAAGUAGCAAAUAAAUCUAAUUCUUGUGUAGAACAUGUUAAGAUUUGCACUAGGUGUAAGGAUUUCGAUGUUGAUGCCUGUAGUGAACAUCUAGUUUUAAUUUCCAAAUUAAAUAAGGAAGUGGCUAGUCUUAAUGCCCAACUUAAGACUAGCAAGAAUGAAGUUGAUAAAAUAAAAUUUGCAAGGGAUGCCUAUACGGUUGGUAGACACCCCUCAAUUAAGGAUGGUCUUGGCUUCAAGAGAGAGGCCAAGAACUUAACAAGCCAUAAGGCUCCCAUCUUCGUCAAGGAGAAAGGGAAGGCCCCUAUGGCUAGUAAUGCUAAAAAGAACCAUGCUUUUAUGUAUUAUGAUAGGAGAAAUGCUAGAAAUGCUUAUAAUGAUUUUGAUUCACAUGUUUAUGAUUCUCAUGCCAUGUUUGCCUCUAGUUCUUCUUAUAAGCAUGAUAGGGAUAUGCCUAGGAGAAAUAUUGCUCAUGUGCCUAGAAAGAAUGUUAUUCAUGCUCCUAGGAAAGUAGUGAAUGAACCUUCUAUAAUUUAUUGUGCUUUAAACACUUCCUUUGCUAUUUGUAGAAAGGAUAGGAAAAUAGUUGCUAGGAAGUUAGGGGCAAAAUGCAAGGGAGACAGGACUUGCAUUUGGGUCCCUAAGGAUAUUUGCACUAACCUUGUAGGACCCAACAUGAGUUGGGUACCUAAGACCCAAGCCUAAAUUUGCCUUGCAGGUUUAUGCAUCCGGGGGUUCAAGCUGGAUUAUUGAUAGCGGAUGCACAAACCAUAUAACGGGGGAGAAGAAGAUGUUCACCUCCUACGUCAAGAAUAAGGAUUCCCAAGAUUCAAUCAUAUUCGGUGAUGGGAAUCAAGGCAAGGUAAAAGGGCUAGGUAAAAUUGCAAUUUCUAAUGAGCAUUCUAUAUCAAAUGUAUUCUUAGUGGAGAGUCUUGGAUAUAAUUUGCUAUCUGUCAGUCAAUUAUGUCAAAUGGGAUAUAAUUGUUUAUUUACAAAUGUAGAUGUGUCUGUCUUUAGAAGAAGUGAUGGUUCACUAGCUUUUAAGGGUGUAUUAGACGGCAAACUUUAUUUAGUUGAUUUUGCAAAAGAAGAGGCCAGUCUAGAUGCAUGCUUAAUGGCUAAGACUUGCAUGGGCUGGCUGUGGCAUCGCCGCUUAGCACAUGUGGGGAUGAAGAACCUCCACAAGCUUCUAAAGGGAGAACAUGUGAUAGGUCUAACCAAUGUUCAUUUCGAAAAAGAUAGACCUUGUGCAGCUUGUCAAGCAGGGAAACAGGUGGGAGGAGCGCAUCACAGCAAGAAUGUGAUGACCACUUCAAGACCCCUGGAGCUGCUGCAUAUGGAUCUCUUCGGACCCGUCGCCUAUCUAAGCAUAGGGGGAAGUAAGUAUGGUCUAGUUAUUGUUGAUGACUUUUCCCGCUUCACUUGGGUGUUCUUUUUGCAGGAUAAGUCUGAAACCCAAGGGACCCUCAAGCGCUUCCUCAGGAGGGCUCAAAAUGAGUUUGAGCUCAAAGUGAAAAAGAUAAGGAGCGACAACGGGUCCGAGUUCAAGAACCUUCAAGUGGAGGAGUUCCUUGAAGAAGAAGGGAUCAAGCACGAGUUCUCCGCUCCCUACACACCACAGCAAAAUGGUGUGGUAGAGAGGAAGAACAGGACGCUCAUCGACAUGGCGAGGACGAUGCUAGGAGAGUUCAAGACCCCCGAGUGCUUUUGGACGGAAGCCGUGAACACGGCUUGCCACGCCAUCAACAGGGUCUACCUUCAUCGCCUCCUCAAGAAGACGUCAUAUGAGCUACUAACCGGUAACAAACCCAAUGUAUCGUACUUUCGUGUAUUUGGGAGUAAAUGCUACAUUCUAGUAAAGAAGGGUAGAAAUUCUAAGUUUGCUCCCAAAGCUGUAGAAGGGUUUUUGUUAGGUUAUGACUCAAAUACAAAGGCGUAUAGAGUCUUCAACAAAUCAUCGGGUUUGGUUGAAGUCUCUAGCGACGUUGUAUUUGAUGAGACUAAUGGCUCUCCAAGAGAGCAAGUUGUUGAUCUUGAUGAUGUAGAUGAAGAAGAUGUUCCGACAGCCGCUAUACGAACCAUGGCGAUUGGUGAUGUGCGACCACAGGAACAAGAAGAGCAAGAUCAACCCUAUUCCUCAACUAUGGUGAAUCCCCCAACUCAAGACGAUGAACAUGUUCAUCAACAGGAGGCGUGUGAUCAAGGGGGAGCACAAGAUGAUCAUGUGAUGGAGGAAGAAGCGCAACCGGCACCUCCAACCCAAGUUCGAGCGAUGAUUCAAAGGGAUCAUCCCGUCGACCAAAUUCUGGGUGACAUUAGCAAGGGAGUAACUACUCGAUCUCGAUUAGUUAAUUUUUGUGAGCAUUACUCCUUUGUCUCUUCUAUUGAGCCUUUCAGGGUAGAAGAGGCCUUGCUAGAUCCGGACUGGGUGUUGGCCAUGCAAGAGGAGUUAAACAACUUCAAGCGCAAUGAAGUUUGGACACUGGUGCCUCGUCCGAAGCAAAAUGUUGUGGGAACCAAGUGGGUGUUCCGCAACAAACAGGACGAGCACGGGGUGGUGACGAGGAACAAGGCUCGACUUGUGGCAAAAGGUUAUGCCCAAGUCGCAGGUUUGGAUUUCGAGGAGACUUUUGCUCCUGUGGCUAGGCUAGAAUCAAUUCGUAUCUUGCUAGCAUAUGCCGCUCACCAUUCUUUCAGGUUGUUUCAAAUGGAUGUGAAGAGCGCCUUCCUCAACGGGCCAAUCAAGGAGGAGGUGUACGUGGAGCAACCCCCUGGCUUCGAGGAUGAACGGUACCCCGACCAUGUGUGUAAGCUCUCUAAGGCGCUCUAUGGACUUAAGCAAGCCCCAAGAGCAUGGUAUGAAUGCCUUAGAGAUUUCUUAAUUGCUAAUGCUUUCAAGGUUGGGAAAGCCGAUCCAACUCUUUUUACUAAGACUUGUAAUGGUGAUUUGUUUGUGUGCCAAAUUUAUGUCGAUGACAUAAUAUUUGGUUCUACUAACCAAAAGUCUUGUGAAGAGUUUAGCAGGGUGAUGACGCAGAAAUUCGAGAUGUCGAUGAUGGGCGAGUUGAACUACUUCCUUGGGUUCCAAGUGAAGCAACUCAAGGACGGCACCUUCAUCUCCCAAACGAAGUACACACAAGAUCUACUAAAGCGGUUUGGGAUGAAGGACGCCAAGCCCGCAAAGACUCCGAUGGGGACCGACGGACACACCGACCUCAACAAAGGAGGUAAGUCUGUUGAUCAAAAAGCAUACCGGUCAAUGAUAGGUUCUUUGCUUUACUUAUGUGCUAGUAGACCGGAUAUUAUGCUUAGCGUAUGCAUGUGUGCUAGAUUUCAAUCCGAUCCUAAGGAGUGUCACUUAGUGGCGGUGAAGCGAAUUCUUAGAUAUUUGGUUGCUACGCCUUGCUUCGGGCUCUGGUAUCCAAAGGGGUCUACCUUUGACUUAGUUGGAUACUCAGACUCCGACUAUGCUGGAUGUAAGGUCGAUAGGAAGAGUACAUCGGGGACGUGCCAAUUCUUAGGAAGGUCCCUGGUGUCAUGGAACUCUAAGAAACAAACUUCCGUUGCCCUAUCCACCGCUGAGGCCGAGUAUGUUGCCGCAGGACAGUGUUGCGCACAACUACUUUGGAUGAGGCAAACCCUCAGGGACUUUGGCUACAAUCUGAGCAAAGUCCCACUCCUAUGUGACAAUGAGAGUGCUAUCCGCAUGGCGGAGAAUCCUGUUGAACACAGCCGCACAAAGCACAUAGACAUCCGGCAUCACUUUUUGAGAGACCACCAGCAAAAGGGAGAUAUCGAAGUGUUUCAUGUUAGCACCGAGAACCAGCUAGCCGAUAUCUUUACCAAGCCUCUAGAUGAGAAGACCUUUUGCAGGCUGCGUAGUGAGCUAAAUGUCUUAGAUUCGCGGAACUUGGAUUGAAUUGUAGCAUACAUGUGUUUAUGCAUUUGAUCAGGUUCAUUCUGCAUUUUGUUGCUUAUUGUGGUGCUCAAGUUGUACAAACCCUCCCUGGACCUCACAAGUCCGUUGCAAAGUGAUGCACAUGUUUAGGGGGAGAUGUGUUACAACUUGACCCUUUGAGACUAACCAUGUGCUUGAGUUUGAUAAUUUAGCCUCGAAGGAGGAUUGAAAAGAAAAAGGUGGACUUGGACCAUGAAAGACUUCCACUGCACUCCGAUGAGAGGGUAACUAAUUCCAAGUUCAUCUCAUGAAAUCUUAUUACCAUUUGCUCUUUAUUGAAGACUUUGGUGAGGCAAUGGGGUUCAAAGGCCAAGAUUGAUCCCGUUUUGGUGCUUGAUGCCAAAGGGGGAGAAAAUAAAGGCCAAAGUGAUAAAUGGAUCAGCUACCACUUGAGAGAUUUUGAAAAUAGUAGAAUAGAAUUUUUGGUUUGUCAAAAUUCUUGAAAAUAGUAGAAUAGAAUUUUUGGUUUGUCAAAAUUCUUAUGUUGUCUCUCUUGUCAAUAAUUGGCUUCUUGUGGGGAGAAGUAUUGAUUAUGGGAAAUAGGGGGAGUUUUCGAAAUCUUUGAUCAAUCUCUUUUGGAAUGAUUCUACAUGUGUGUUUAACUUAGAGAUUUGAGUUUGAUUUGCAAAAACAAACCAAGUGGUGGCAAAGGAUGAUCCAUAUAUGCCAAAAUUGAAUAAAACCAAUUUGAGUUUUUAUUUAAAGUGAUUUUGCACUUGUUCUAGUUGCUUUAUGUUGUGUUGGCAUAAAUCACCAAAAAGGGGGAGAUUGAAAGGGAAAUGUGCCCUUGGGCCAUUUCUAUGUAUUUUGGUGAUUGAGUGCCAACACAUGUGCUUAAUUGGGAAUUUAUGUACAUGGAUGAACAAGGUGAAAAUCAUGAAGUAAAGGUAUGUUUCUAAGCCUUAGUACAUUGGUUUUAAGUACUAAUAUAUUUGUCUAAGUGUUAGAAACAGAAAGAAGAAGAAUAGAGAAAAGGAGAAGGGACUUGGCUGUGUGCUGCCAAGACCCAGCUCGGUCUGGAGCACCGGACUGUCCGGUGUGCACCGGACAGUGUCCGGUGCGCCAGGCUGGCGCGACUCGAACUGGCCGCUCUCGGGAAAUUGGCCGGCGGCGUACGGCUAAAAUUCACCGGACUGUCCGGUGUGCACCGGACUGUCCGGUGAGCCAACGGUCGGCCAGGGCCAACGGUCGGCCGCGCAAUCCGCGCGGGACACGUGGCCGAGCCAACGGUCGAAAGACGGCACCGGACUGUCCGGUGUGCACCGGACAUGUCCGGUGCGCCAACAGUGCCAGAUCUGCCAACGGUCUGCAACGGUCGUCUUCGCCGUUUAAGGAAACAAAUCGGGCACCGGACAGUGUCCGGUGUGCACCGGACUGUCCGGUGCCCCCGACGACAGAAGGCAAGGAUGGCCUUCCGGAUUUGCUCUCAACGGCUCCUAGCUGCCUUGGGGCUAUAAAAGGAGCCCCUAGGCGCAUGGAGGAGACACACAAGCAACCUUUGAGCAUUCUUGAUCAUCCACACUAAGUCUCUGCGCAUUCGUUUGUGUUUCUAAGUGAUUCGAGCUCUGUUCUAAGUGAGAACUCUGAGAUAGUCUUGUGAGCUCGAUUCUUGGCCGUGUGUGUGCGCUUUUGCUGUGGAUUUGUGUGUGUUGCUUCCCUCCCUUACUCUGUGUUUCAUUUGUGAUCAUAUACUUGUAAGGGCAAGAGACUCCAAUUUGUGGAGAUUCCUUGCAAACGGGAUAGUGAAAGGAAAACAAAACACCGUGGUAUUCAAGUGGGUCUUUGGACCGCUUGAGAGGGGUUGAUUGCAACCCUCGUCCGUUGGGACGCCACAACGUGGAGUAGGCAAGCGUUGGUCUUGGCCGAACCACGGGAUAAAACCACUGUGUCACUCUGUGCUUGAUUCUCUUGUGGUACUGUGUUUUGUUGAGAUUGUUGAGACUUCACCUUAGCCACUUGGCAAUAAUCGUGCUAACACUUAACAAGUUUUUGUGGCUUAAGUUUGAAGUUUUUACAGGAUCACCUAUUCACCCCCCCCUCUAGGUGCUCUCAGUAAGGAGGUCGUCCACAGUGGUACGCCAUGCCCUAGUUUCCGUGGAUCUCGCCUACACUAUUCCCGCCCAUGACAGCUUGCAAGUGUGUCGUCCUCCUCGCAUGCGAUUUGCGCCCCCACCACAGCGUUGAGAUCAUCGCCCCCUCACCCUCUAGCCGACCUUUUCCUCCAUCAUUGACCCGCCCUCCUGACGCCACUUGCGCUGGCGCCGUCUCCUCCUCGUGCUCCGUCUCCUCACCCUCCUCCGUGUUGCCGAGAUCCGCAUGGUGGCGGCAUCCGAGUACUCCAUCUUCACCGUCUCCAACCCGGAGACUGAAGUUGUGUCUGCCGCCACCUAGCUCGUCCCUAGAUCCGUGCCCACAUACGUCUCCUACCUCAUCGCCAACGUCCGUCGCGUCGACCCCAACCAGUGUCGCCAUUCCGAGCGUCGCCGCUUUCGUGACUUCAUCACGCUGCAGGACCAUCCUGCUCUGGUCCCUCGCUGGUGUCAUCAAAACCCUACGCGAUGUCGUUCUCCUCGGUGCCCGAGAUGAGACUUAGCUCCGAUGCCGAGCUACUUGGCAUCAUCGACUCCGAGAACAAGUAUGCCCGAAAACUAUGAUGACCACGACAGCGUAAUGGAGCACAUUCUCCAAUCUAUUGUGUGUGUAUCUAUUUUCGCAAUAUUAAGCAUCGCCCUGCUCUGGCCCCUUGCUGCCGUCGUGGCGUUGUUAAAGCCCCGUGUGGUGUCGUUCUCCUCAGCGCUUGAGAUGAGACCCAGCUCCGAUGCCGAGCUACUCGACAUCAUCGACUCCGAGAUCAAGUACCCUCGAGGACUGUGAUGACCACGACAGGGUAAUGGAGCAGAUUCCCCUAUAUAUUGUGUGUAUCUAUUUUCUACAAGAGGAAAUUCAGCGCUUACUCCUCUCAACGAUUCGGUUAGUUGUCAUGCUUGCGCACUCCUACCUCAUGGAUUUUUAGUGUGUGUGUUUAGUUGAGUUCGACGUUAUGUCCAUUUUUAGAAUCUAGACUACUGAUCAGUAAUAAGGAUUGUUAACAUUGAUGUGUAGCUGCAAAAACAUAUUAGUAACACACAAAUGUGUCCUAGGUUGACAUAUGGCAAGAAAGGAGAGUUUUUGGCUCAUGUGAUGGGGGCAUCGAUGAUCAGUGUCGGUCCUGACAUUUUAGAGGCCCAGGACAAGACUUAUAAAGGAGGCCCUUUAUAAUAAUUAUUAUUGAAAGUCGCCUAGAGGGGGGGUGAAUAGAGCGAAUCUGAAAUUUAUAAACUUAAGCACAACUACAAGUCAAGGUUAGCGUUAGAAUAUAAACGAGUCCAUGAGAGAGGGCGGAAAAACAAAUCACGGGCAAAUAAAGAGUGAGACACGAUGAUUUGUUUUACCGAGGUUCGGUUCUUGCAAACCUACUCCCCGUUGAGGUGGUCACAAAGACCGAGUCUCUUUCAACCCUUUUCCCUCUCUCAAACGGUCACUUAGACCGAGUGAGCUUCUCUUCUCAAUCAAACGAGACACAAAGUCCCCGCAAGGACCACCACACAAUUGGUGUCUCUUGCCUUGGUUACAAUUGAGUUUGAUUACAAGAAUGAAGAAAGAAAAGAAGCAAUCCAAGCGCAAGAGCUCAAAUGAACACAAAUGUCACUCUCUCUAAUCACUAUUUGAUUUGGAGUGAUUCCGGACUUGUAUAGAUGGCCAUUUGGCACUAACACGAUGGGCCAGCCCAGGCACGGCACGAAAAAGCACGGUCCAGGCACGACCCGGUCUGGUUAGUAUAGUGCCAGUGCCUGGCACGGCACGGCUAUAGUGCCGUGCCUGGGCCACUAUCUCGACCCGUAGUGCUGGCACGGACACGACACGGUUACAUUUUUUAUUUUAAAAAUAAUAGUUUACAUAUAUUAAGUAUAAGAAUUCAACAUAUAAUAUAAUAAAACUACAACUGCACUGGUUAGAUAGAUGCGUUUAAGCCUCUUAUGCACUAGGUUGUGGGUUCAAGCCCUCACAACUACACAUUUUUUGCUAAAUUCUACAAUAUACUCAGAUGGGCCAUAGUGCCACCGGGCCGGCCCGGCACGACUAACAGGCUCACGGGCCGUGCCUGGGCCGCGGCAGCGGCACGCCGGCCCAUCUGGGCACGGCACGCUUGGUAGCCGGGCCUGGCGGGCCGUGCCAGCGACGGGCCGUGCCGGGUCGGGCCGUGCCGGCCCGUUUGGCCAUCUAUACGGACUUGGGAGAGGAUUUGACCUCUUUGGUUGUGUCUAGAAUGGAAUGCUAUAGCUCUUGUAAGGUGUUGAAGGUGGAAAACUUGGAUGCAAUGAAUGGUGGGUGGUUGGGGUAUUUAUAGCCCCAACCACCAAACUAGCCGUUUGGUGGAGACUGCGACAUCGCACAGCGCACAGCUUCUGUCUUCUGGGCCACCGGACAGUCCGGUGGUGCACCAGACAGGCACUGUUCAGUGUCCGGUGCGCCAUCUGGCUCUGCUCUGAGUCUGGUGCGCACUGUAGCGCAUUUAAUGCCUUCUGCAGACGACCGUUGGCGCGAAGUAGUCGUUGCUCCGCUGGCACACCGGACAGUUCGGUGCGCCACCGGACACUGUCCGGUGUACAUUCCGGUGAAUUAUAGCGGAGCGGCCUCCAGAAUUCCCGAAGGUGAGCAGUUCGGAGUUGGAGUCCCUGGUGCACCGGACAUUGUCCGGUGGCACACCAGACAGUCCGAUGCACCAAACCAGGGCACACUUCGGUUGACUUUAGCUCUCAAUAUUUGAAUCCUUUCUCGGUCUUUUUAUUGGUUUGUUGUGAACCUUUGCCACAUGUAGAACUCAUAAUCUAAAGCAAACUAGUUAGUCCAAUUAUUUGUGUUGGGCAUUUCAACCACCAAAAUCAAUUUAGGAAAAGGUGUAAGCCUAUUUCCCUUUCAAUCUCCCCAUUUUUGGUGAUUGAUGCCAACACAAACCAAAGCAAAUGUAGAAGUGCAUAAUUGUAAGUGCAAAGGUUGCUUGGAAUGAAACCAAUAUAUUCUCAUAAGAUAUGCAUGGAUUGUUUCUUUAUAUUUUUAACAUUUUGGACCACGCUUGCACCACAUAUUUUGUUUUUGCAAAUCCUUUUGUAAAUUCAUUUCAAAGUCUUUUUGCAAAUAGUCAAAGGUAAAUGAAUAAGAUUGUGAGGAGCAUUUUCAAGAUUUGAAAUUUUCUCCCCCUGUUUCAAAUGCUUUUCCUUUGACUAAACAAAACUCCCCCUUAAGAAAAUCCUCCUCUUAGUGUUCAAGAGGGUUUUAGAUAUUAGUUUUUGAAGAGGGUGUUCCAAUUUGAAAUUAUAUCAAAAAUAAGAUACCUAUUGAAAAAUUCAUCAUUUUAAACUCUUUUCUUAACUCAAUCUUUGAAAAUUGGUGGUGAUGCGGUCCUUUUGCUUUGGGCUAAUACUUUCUCCCCCUUUGGCAUGAAUCGCCAAAAAUGGAUACUUGAGUGAAAUAUAAGCCCUUUUGUAACUAUUUUCUCCCCCUUUGGCGAACAAAAUAUGAGUAAAGAUUAUACCAAAGACGGAGAGUGGUGUUGCUCGGAGCGACGACGAAGGAUGAGUAAUUUGAUGGAGUGGAGUGGAAGCCUUUGUCUUCGUCGAAAACUCCAAUUCCCUUUCAAUCUAUGACUUGGUUUGAAAUAUGCUUGAAAACAUAUUAGUCAUAGCAUAUAAAAGAGACACGAUCAAAGGUAUAUCUAUGAGCUAUGUGUGCAAAACAUCAAAAGAAAUUCCGAGAAUCAAGAAUAUUUAGCUCAUGCCUAAGUUUGUUAAAAGUUUGUUCAUCUAGUGGCUUGGUAAAGAUAUCGGCUAAUUGUUCUUUGGUGUUAAUAUAUGCAAUCUCGAUAUCUCCCUUUUGUUGGUGAUCCCUUAGAAAAUGAUACCGAAUGACUAUGUGUUUAGUGCGGCUAUGCUCAACGGGAUUAUCCGCCAUGCGGAUUGCACUCUCAUUAUCACAUAGAAGAGGAACUUUGGUUAAUUUGUAACCAUAGUCCCUGAGGGUUUGCCUCAUCCAAAGCAAUUGCGUGCAACAAUGGCCUGCGGCAAUAUACUCGGCUUCGGCGGUAGAAAGAGCCACAGAAUUUUGCUUCUUUGAAGCACAAGACACUAGAGAUCUUCCCAAGAACUGGCAAGUCCCCGAUGUGCUCUUAUAAUUAAUUUUACACCCUGCCCAAUCGGCAUCCGAAUAACCAAUUAAAUCAAAUGUGGAUCCCCGAGGGUACCAAAGCCCAAACUUAGGAGUAUAAACUAAAUAUCUCAAGAUUCGUUUUACGACCGUAAGGUGAGUUUCCUUAGGGUCGGCUUGGAAUCUUGCACACAUGCAUACGAAAAGCAUUAUGUCCGGUCGAGAUGCACAUAAAUAGAGUAAAGAGCCUAUCAUCGACCGGUAUACCUUUUGAUCGACGGAUUUACCUCCUGUGUCAAGGUCGAGAUGCCCAUUGGUUCCCAUGGGUGUCUUGAUGGGUUUGGCAUCCUUCAUCCCAAACUUGGUUAGAAUGUCUUGAAUAUACUUUGUUUGGCUAAUGAAGGUGCCCUCUUGGAGUUGCUUCACUUAAAAUCCCAAGAAGUACUUCAACUCCCCCAUCAUAGACAUCUCGAAUUUCUGUGUCAUGAUCCUACUAAAUUCCUCACAUGUAGAUUCGUUAGUAGACCCAAAUAUAAUAUCAUCAACAUAAAUUUGGCAUAUAAACAAUUCAUUGUCAAGAGUUUUAGUAAAUAAAGUAGGAUCAGCCUUUCCAACUUUGAAACCAUUAGUGAUAAGGAAAUCUCUUAGGCAUUCAUACCAUGCUCUUGGGGCUUGCUUGAGCCCAUAAAGCGCCUUAGAGAGUUUGUAAACAUGGUUAGGGUACUCACUAUCUUCAAAGUCGGGAGGUUGCUCAACAUAGACCUCUUCCUUGAUUGGUCCAUGGAGGAAGGCACUUUUCACGUCCAUUUGGUAAAGCUUAAAGCCAUAGUAAGUAGCAUAGGCAAGUAAUAUGCGAAUUGAUUCUAGCCUAGCUACGAGUGCAUAGGUUUCACCAAAAUCCAAACCUUCGACUUGUGAAUACCCCUUGACCACAAGUCGGGCUUUGUUCCUUGUCACCACGCCAUGCUCAUCUUGCUUGUUGCGGAAGACCCACUUGGUUCCUACAACAUUUUGAUUAGGACGUGGAACUAAAUGCCAUACCUCAUUCCUAGUGAAGUUGUUGAGCUCCUCUUGCAUCGCCACCACCCAAUCCGAAUCUUGAAGUGCUUCCUCUACCCUGUGUGGCUCAAUAGAGGAGACAAAAGAAUAAUGUUCACAAAAAUGAGCAACACGAGAUCGAGUAGUUACCCCCUUUUGAAUAUCGUCGAGGAUAGUGUUCACGGGGUGAUCUCGUUGGAUUUCUUGGUGGACUCUUGGGUGUGGCGGCCUUGGAACUUGUUUAUCUUCCUCAUCUUGAUCAUGGGCAUCUCCCGCUUGAUCAUUGCUCUCCUCUUGAGGUGGCUCGACUUUUUGAUCUUCUCCUUCAUCAUUUUGAGCCUUAUCCUCAUCUUGAGUUGGUGGAGAUGCUUCUGUGGAGGAAGAUGGUUGAUCUUGUGCAUGUGGUGGCUCUUUGGAUUCCUUAGGACACACAUCCCCAAUGGACAUGUUCCUUAGUGCGACGCACGGAGCCCUCUUCAUCACAUAUCUCAUCAAGAUCAACUUGCUCUACUUGAGAGCCGUUAGUCUCAUCAAACACAAUGUCACAAGAAACUUCAACUAGUCCGGAGGACUUGUUAAAGACUCUAUAUGCCCUUGUGUUUGAAUCAUAUCCUAGUAAAACACCUUCUACAGCUUUAGGAGCAAAUUUAGAUUUUCUACCUCUCUUAACAAGAAUAAAGCAUUUGCUCCCAAAGACUCUAAAAUACGAAACAUUGGGCUUUUUACCGGUUAGGAGUUCGUAUGAUGUCUUCUUGAGGAUUCGGUGUAGAUACAACCGGUUGAUGGCAUAGCAAGCGAUGUUGACCGCCUCGCCCCAAAACCGAUCCGAAGUCUUGUACUCAUCAAGCAUGGUUCUUGCCAUGUCCAGUAGAGUUCGAUUCUUCCUCUCCACUACACCAUUUUGUUGUGGCGUGUAGGGAGAGGAGAACUCAUGCUUGAUGCCCUCCUCCUCAAGGAAGCCUUCAAUUUGUGAGUUCUUGAACUCUGUUCCGUUGUCGCUUCUUAUUUUCUUGAUCCUCAACCCGAACUCAUUUUUAGCCCGUCUCAAGAAUCCCUUUAAGGUCUCUUGGGUAUGAGAUUUUUCCUGCAAAAAGAACACCCAAGUGAAGCGAGAAUAGUCAUCCACAAUAACUAGACAGUACUUACUCCCGCCGAUGCUUAUGUAAGCGAUCAGGCCGAAUAGAUCCAUGUGUAGGAGCUCGAGUGGCCUGUCAGUCGUCAUAAUGUUCUUGUGUGGAUGAUGAACACCAACUUGCUUCCCUGCCUAACAUGCGCUACAAAUCCUGUCUUUCUCAAAAUGAACACCUGUUAGUCCCAAAAUGUGUUCUCCCUUUAGAAGCUUGUGGAGAUUCUUCAUUCCAACAUGUGCUAGUCGGCGAUGCUAGAGCCAGCCCAUGUUAGUCUUAGAAAUUAAGCAAGUGUCGAGUUCAACUCUAUCAAAAUGCUAUUGAAUCAUCACAUCUUCUAAAGACAGUAACACCUACAUCUGUAAAAAGACAGUUGUAGCCCAUUUUACAUAAUUGCGAAACUGAAAGCAAGUUGUAAUCUAAAGAAUCUACAAGAAAAACAUUGGAAAUGGAAUGGUCAGGUGAUAUAACAAUUUUACCCAAUCCUUUGACCAAAACUUGAUUCCCAUCCUCGAAUGUGAUAGCUCGUUGGGGAUCUUGGUUUUUCUCGUAGGAGGAGAACAUCUUCUUCUCCCCUGUCAUAUGGUUUGUGCACCCGCUAUCGAUGAUCCAACUUGAGCCCCCGGAUGCAUAAACCUACAAAACAGAUUUAGUUCUUGAUUUUAGGUACCCAAAUGGUUUUGGUUCCUUUGACAUUAGAUACAAGAAUUUUGGGUACCCAAACACAAGUCUUUGACCCCUUGUGCUUGCCCCCAACAUACUUGGCAACUACCUUGCCGGAUUUGUUAGUUAAAACAUAAGAUGCAUCAAGAGUUUUAAAUGAAAUUUUAGAAUCAUUUGAUGUAAUUGGAGUUUUCUUAGGCAAUUUCGCAUGGGUUGAUUGCCUAGAGUUAGAUGUCUCACCCUUAUACAUAAAAGCAUGAUUAGGGCCAGAGUGAGACUUCCUAGAAUGAAUUCUCCUAAUUUUGCUCUCGGGAUAAGCGGCAGGGUACAAAAUGUAACCCUCGUUAUCCUGAGGCAUGGGAGCCUUGCCCUUAACAAAGUUAGACAAUCUUUUAGGAGGGGCAUUAAGUUUGACAUUGUCCCCCUUUUGGAAGCCAAUGUCAUCCUUGAUGCCAGGGCGUCUCCCACUAUAGAGCAUGCUUCUAGCAAAUUUAAAUUUUUCAUUUUCUAAGUCAUGCUCAUUAAUCUUUGCAUUAAGUUGGGCUAUGUGAUCAUUUUGUUUCUUAAUUAAUGCUAGGUGAUCAUGAAUAGCAUCAACAUUAAUAUCUCUACAUCUAGUACAAAUGGAAACAUGCUCAAUGGUAGAUGUAGAGGGUUUGUAAGAUUUUAGUUCAAUAAUCUUAGCAUGUAAUAUGUCAUUCUCACUUCUAAGAUUGGAUAUGGUAAUAUUGCAAACAUCUAAAUCCUUAGCCUUAGCAAUCAAGUUUUCAUUUUCAUUUCUAAGGCUAGCAAGAGAAACAUUUAAUUCUUCAAUCUUAGCAAGUAAUUUAACAUUAUCAUCUCUGAAAGUCGCCUAGAGGGGGGGUGAAUAGGGCGAAACUGAAAUUCUCAAAAAUAAUCACAACUACAAGCCGGGUUAGCGUUAGAAAUAUAAUCGAGUCCGCGAGAGAGGGCGCAAAACAAAUCGCAAGAGAAUAAGGAGUGUGACACGCGGAUUUGUUUUACCGAGGUUCGGUUCUCGCAAACCUACUCCCCGUUGAGGAGGCCACAAAGGCCGGGUCUCUUUCAACUCAUCCCUCUCUCAAAUGGUCCCUCGGACCGAGUGAGCUUCUCUUUCUCAAAUCACUUGGGAAUCAAACUUCCCGCAAGGACCACCACACGAUUGGUGUCUCUUGCCUUAAUAACAAGUGAGUGUUUGAUCACAAGAAAGAAUGCCAAAGAAAAAGAAGCGAUCCAAGCGCAAGAGCUCAAAUGAACACUACAAAUCACUCUCUCUAGUCACUAAGGCUUUGUGUGGAGUUGGGAGAGGAUUUGAUCUCUUUUGGUGUGCUUUGCAAUGAAUGCUAGCUCUUGUAUAGUGGUUGGAAGCUGGAAAACUUGGAUGACUUGAAUGUGGGGUGGUUGGGGGUAUUUAUAGCCCCAACCACCAAACUAGCCGUUGGUGGAGGCUGUCUGUUGUAUGGUGCACCGGACAGUCCGGUGCACACCGGACAUGUCCGGUGCGCCAGCCACGUCACCAAAGCCGUUGCAAUUUGACCGUUGGAGUUCUGACUUCUGGGCCUGCCUGGAUGUCCGGUGGCGCACCAGACAUGUACUGUAGAGUGUCCGGUGCGCCAGCAUGGGCGUGCCUGACGCCUGCGCGCUCUGACGCGCAUUAAUUGCUGUUGCAGGCGACCGUUGGCGCGAAGUAGCCGUUGCUCCGCAGUUGCACCGGACAGUCCGGUGUACACCGGACAUGUCCGGUGAAUUAUAGCGGAGCAGCCGCUACAGAUUCCCGAGGCUGCCAAGUUCCAGAGCCGCGUCCUUUUGGUGCACCGGACACUGUCCGGUGUACACCGGACAGUCCGGUGAAUUAUAGCGCGCCGGCUUCUGGAAAUUCCCGAGGUUGAGGAGUUCAGUGCGCGGUCCCCUGGUGCACCGGACACUGUCCGGUGCGCCACCGGACAGUCCGGUGCGUCAGACCAGGGAGCCUUUCGGGAUGCCUUUAGCUCACUAAUUUGAACCCAACUUUGGUCUUUUUAAUUGGCUUGUUGUGAACCUUUGACACCUGUAUAACUUAUACACUAGAGCAAACUAGUUAGUCCACUUGUUUGUGUUGGACAAUUCAACCACCAAAAUUAUUUAGGAACUAGGUGUAAGCCUAAUUCCCUUUCAAUCUCCCCCUUUUUGGUGAUUGAUGCCAACUCAAACCAAAGCAAAUGUAGAAGUGCAUAAUUGAACUAGUUUGCAUAAUGUAAGUGCAAAGGUUGCUUGGAAUUGAGCCAAUGUAAAUUCUUACAAGAUAUGCAUGGAUUGUUUCUUUGUCUUUAUCAUUUUGGACCACGCUUGCACCACAAGUUUUGUUUUUGCAAACUCUUUUGUAAAUCCUUUACAAGGUUCUUUUGCAAAUAGUCAAAGAUGAAUGAAGAAUAAGAUUUUGCAAAACAUUUUUCAAGAUUUGAAAUUUUCUCCCCCUGUUUCAAAUGCUUUUCCUUUGAUUAAACAAAACUCCCCCUAAAUGAGAUCCUCCUCUUAGUGUUCAAGAGGGUUUUGAUAUAUCAUUUUUGAAAUACUACUUUCUCCCCCUUUUUAACAUAAUAAGAUAUCAAUUUGAAAUUUACCAAUUGAAAAUCUCUCCAAUUUUAAAAUAGGUGGUGGUGCGGUCCUUUAAAAUAGGUGGUGGUGCGGUCCUUUUGCUUUAGGCUCAUACUUUCUCCCCCUUUGGCAUGAAUCGCCAAAAACGGAUACUUUGAGUGAGAUAUAAGCCCUUGAAUUACUUUCUCCCCCUUUGGUCAUAAAUAAAACAUGUGAGUAAAGAUUAUACCAAAGAUGGAGAGUGAUGCAGAGAGACGGCGAAGGAUGAGUGGUAGAGUGGAGUGGAAGCCUUUGUCUUCGCCGAAGACUCCAAUUCCCUUUUAAUAUACCUAUGACUUGUUUUGAAAUACACUUGAAAACACAUCAGUCAUAGCAUAUAUAAAAGAGACAUGAUCAAAGGUAUAUUUAUGAGUUAUGUGUGCAAAUUAGCAAAAGAAGUUCCUAGAAUCAAGAAUAUUGAGCUCAUGCCUAAGUUUGGUAAAGGUUUGUUCAUCAAGUGGCUUGGUAAAGAUAUCGGCUAAUUGAUCUUUAGUGUUAAUGUAUGAAAUCUCGAUAUCCCCCUUUUGUUGGUGAUCCCGAAGAAAAUGAUACCGAAUGGCUAUGUGUUUAGUGCGGCUAUGCUCAACGGGAUUAUCCGCCAUGCGGAUUGCACUCUCAUUAUCACAUAGAAGAGGAACUUUGGUUAGUUUGUAACAGUAGUCCCGCAGGGUUUGCCUCAUCCAAAGCAAUUGUGCGCAACAGUGGCCUGCGGCAAUAUACUCGGCUUCGGCGGUGGAAAGAGCGACCGAAUUUUGCUUCUUUGAAGCCCAAGACACCAAGGAUCUUCCCAAGAACUGGCAAGUCCCCGAUGUGCUCUUCCUAUUGAUUUUGCACCCCGCCCAAUCGGCAUCCGAAUAACCAAUCAAAUCAAAUGUGGAUCCCCGAGGGUACCAAAGCCCAAACUUAGGUGUGUAAGCCAAAUAUCUCAAGAUUCGUUUUACGGCCGUAAGAUGUGAUUCCUUAGGGUCGGCUUGGAAUCUUGCACACAUGCAAACGGAAAGCAUAAUGUCCGGUCGAGAUGCACAUAAAUAGAGCAAUGAACCAAUCAUCGACCGGUAUACCUUUUGAUCAACGGACUUACCACCCGUGUCGAGGUCGAGAUGCCCAUUGGUUCCCAUGGGUGUCUUGAUGGGCUUGGCAUCCUUCAUUCCAAACUUGCUUAGAAUGUCUUGAGUAUACUUCGUUUGGCUAAUGAAGGUGCCCUCUUGGAGUUGCUUGACUUGGAAUCCUAGAAAAUACUUCAACUCCCCCAUCAUCGACAUCUCAAAUUUCUUUGUCAUGAUCCUACUAAAUUCUUCACAUGUAGAUUCGUUAGUAGACCCAAAUAUGAUAUCAUCAACAUAAAUUUGGCAUACAAACAAAUCAUUGUCAAGAGUUUUAGUGAAUAAAGUAGGAUCGGCCUUGCCGACUUUGAAGCCAUUAGCAAUAAGGAAAUCUCUAAGGCAUUCAUACCAUGCUCUUGGGGCUUGCUUGAGCCCAUAAAGCGCCUUAGAGAGCCUAUAAACAUGGUUAGGGUACUCACUAUCUUCAAAGCCGGGAGGUUGCUCAACAUAGACCUCCUCCUUGAUUGGUCCGUUGAGGAAGGCACUCUUCACGUCCAUUUGGUAAAGCUUGAAGCCAUGGUAAGUAGCAUAGGCCAAUAAUAUACGAAUUGACUCAAGCCUAGCUACGGGUGCAUAGGUUUCACCAAAAUCCAAACCUUCGACUUGUGAAUACCCCUUGGCCACGAGUCGAGCUUUGUUCCUUGUCACCACACCAUGCUCGUCUUGCUUGUUGCGGAAGACCCACUUGGUUCCUACAACAUUUUGAUUAGGACGUGGAACCAAAUGCCAUACCUCGUUCCUCGUGAAGUUGUUGAGCUCCUCUUGCAUCGCCAUCACCCAAUCCGAAUCUUGGAGUGCUUCCUCUACCCUGUGUGGCUCAAUAGAGGAAACAAAAGAGUAAUGCUCACAAAAAUGUGCAACACGAGAUCGAGUGGUUACCCCCUUAUGAAUGUCGCCGAGGAUGGUGUCGACGGGAUGAUCUCGUUGUAUUGCUUGGUGGACUCUUGGGUGUGGCGGCCUUGGUUGUUUAUCAUCCUCCUUGUCUUCAUUAUUUGCAUUUCCCCCUUGAUCAUUGCCAUCAUCUUGAGGUGGCUCAUCAUGUUGUUCUUCCUCUUUAUCAACUUGAGCCUCAUCCUCAAUUUGGGUUGGUGGAGAUGCUUGCGUGGAGGAAGAUGGUUGAUCUUGUGCUCUUGGAGGCUCUUUGGAUUCCUUAGGACACACAUCCCCAAUGGACAUGUUCCUUAGCGCGAUGCACGGAGCCUGUUCUUCACCUAUCUCAUCAAGAUCAACAUGCUCUACUUGAGAGCCGUUAGUCUCAUCAAACACAACGUCACAAGAAACUUCAACAAGUCCUGAGGACUUGUUAAAGACUCUAUAUGACCUUGUGUUUGAGUCAUAUCCUAGUAAAAAGCCUUCUACAGUUUUAGGAGCAAAUUUAGAUUUUCUACCUCUUUUAACAAGAAUAAAGCAUUUGCUACCAAAAAACUCUAAAAUAUGAAAUAUUGAGCUUUUUACCGGUUAGGAGUUCAUAGGAUGUCUUCUUGAGGAUUCGGUGUAGAUAUAACCAGUUGAUGGCGUAACAAGCGGUGUUGACCGCCUCGGCCCAAAACCGAUCCGGUGUCUUGUACUCAUCAAGCAUGGUUCUUGCCAUGUCCAAUAGAGUUUGAUUCUUCCUCUCCACUACACCAUUUUGUUGUGGGGUGUAGGGAGAAGAGAACUCAUGCUUGAUGCCCUCCUCCUCGAGGAAGCCUUCAAUUUGAGAGUUCUUGAACUCCGUCCCGUUGUCGCUUCGAAUUUUCUUGAUCCUUAAGUCGAACUCAUUUUGAGCCCGUCUCAAGAAUCCCUUUAAGGUCUCUUGGGUAUGAGAUUUUUCCUGCAAAAAGAAUACCCAAGUGAAGCGAGAAUAAUCAUCCACAAUAACUAGACAGUACUUACUCCCGCCGAUGCUUAUGUAAGCGAUCGGGCCGAAUAGGUCCAUGUGUAGGAGCUCCAGUGGCCUGUCACUAGUCAUGAUGUUCUUGUGUGGAUGAUGAGUGCCAACUUGCUUUCCUGCUUGGCAUGCGCUACAAAUCCUGUCUUUCUCAAAAUGAACAUUUGUUAGUCCCAAAAUGUGCUCUCCCUUUAGAAGCUUAUGAAGAUUCUUCAUUCCAACGUGGGCUAGUCGGCGAUGCCAGAGCCAACCCAUGUUAGUCUUAGCAAUUAAGCAUGUGUCGAGUUCAGCUCUAUCAAAAUCUACCAAGUAUAGCUGACCCUCUAACACACCCUUAAAUGCUAUUGAAUCAUCACUUCUUCUAAAGACAGUGACACCUACAUCAGUAAAGAGACAGUUGUAGCCCAUUUGACAUAAUUGAGAUACAGAAAGCAAAUUGUAAUCUAAAGAAUCUACAAGAAAAACAUUGGAAAUAGUAUAGUCAGGUGAUAUAGCAAUUUUACCCAAUCCUUUGACCAAACCUUGAUUUCCAUCCCCGAAUGUGAUAGCUCGUUGGGGAUCUUGGUUUUUCUCAUAUGAGGAGAACAUCUUCUUCUCCCCUGUCAUGUGGUUUGUGCACCCACUAUCGAGUAUCCAACUUGAGCCCCCGGAUGCAUAAACCUACAAAACAAUUUUAGUUCUUGAUUUUAGGUACCCAAACGGUUUUGGGUCCUUUGGCAUUAGAAACAAGAACUUUGGGUACUCAAACACAAGUCUUGGAACCCUUGUGUUUGCCCCCAACAAACUUGGCAACUACCUUGCCGGAUUUGUUAGUAAGCACAUAAGAUGCAUCAAAAGUUUUAAAUGAAAUACUAUGAUCAUUUGAUGCAAUAGGAGUUUUCUUCUUAGGCAACUUGGCACGGGUUGGUUGCCUAGAUCUAGAUGUCUCACCCUUAUACAUAAAAGCAUGGUUAGGGCCAGAGUGAGACUUCCUAGAAUGAAUUUUCUUAAUUUUGCUCUCGGGAUAACCGGCAGGGUACAAAAUGUAACCCUCGUUAUCCUGAGGCAUGGGAGCAUUGCCCUUAACAAAGUUAGACAAGUUUUUAGGAGGGACAUUAAGUUUGACAUUGUCUCCCCUUUGGAAGCCAAUGCCAUCCUUGAUGCCAGGGCGUCUCCCAUUAUAGAGCAUACUUCUAGCAAAUUUAAACUUUUCAUUUUCUAAGUUAUGCUCGGCAAUUUUAGCAUCUAAUAUUGUUAUAUGAUCAUUUUGUUGUUUAAUUAAAGCCAUGUGAUCAUGAAUAGCAUUGAUAUCAAUAUCUCUACUUCUAGUACAAAUAGAAGUGUGCUCAACGGUAGAUGUAGAGGGUUUGCAAGAUUUUAAUUCUACAACCUUAGCAUGCAACAUAUCAUUCUUGGUUCUAAGGUCGGAAAUGGUAGUAUUGCAAACAUCAAAAUCUUUAGCCUUAGCAAUUAACUUUUCAUUUUCAAUUCUAAGGCUAUCAAGAGAAAUAUUCAAUUCAUCAAUCUUAGCAAGCAAAUCAACAUUAUCAUCUCUAGGAUUGGAAAUUGAAUCAAUACAAACAUGGGAAUCAACCUUAGCAAUUAAUUUAGCAUUUUCAUUUCUAAGGUUGUUAAUGGUCUCAUGGCAAGUGCUUAUCUCACUAGAUAAUUUUUCACAUUUUUCAACUUGUAGAGCAUAAGCAUUUUUAACCUUAACAUGCUUUUUAUUUUCCUUGAUUAGGAAGUCCUCUUGGGAGUCCAAGAGAUCAUCCUUCUCAUGGAUGGCACUAAUCAAUUCAUUUAAUUUUUCUUUUUGUUGCAUGUUUAGGUCGGCAAAAAGGGUACGCAAAUUAUUUUCCUCAUCACUAGCAUUAUCAUCACUAGAGGAUUCAUAUUUAGUGGAGGAUUUAGAUUUAACCUUCUUCCUUUUGCCGUCCUUUGCCAUGAGGCACUUGUGGCCGACGUUGGGGAAGAGGAGUCCCUUGGUGACGGCGAUGUUGGCGGCGUCUUCGUCGGAUGAGGACUCGGUGGAGCUCUCGUCGGAGUCCCACUCCCGGCAAACAUGGCCAUCGCCGCCCUUCUUCUUGUAGUACUUCUUCUUUUCUCUCCUCUUUCCCUUCUUGUCGUCGCCCCUGUCACUGUCACUAGAUAUAGGACAUUUUGCAAUAAAAUGACCGGGCUUACCACACUUGUAGCACACUUUCUUGGAGCGGGGUUUGUAGUCCUUCCCCCUCCGUUGCUUGAGGAUUUGGCGAAAGCUUUUGAUGAUUAAAGCCAUCUCCUCAUUGUCGAGCUUGGAGGUGUCAAUUGGUUGUCUACUCGGUGUAGACUCCUCCUUCUUCUCCUCCGUCGCCUUGAACGCCACUGGUUGAGCUUCGGACGUGGAGGGUUCGUCAAGCUCGUUGAUCUUCUUUGAGCCUUUAAUCAUACAUUCAAAGCUCACAAAAUUCCCGAUAACUUCCUCGGGAGUCAUUAGUGUGUAUCUAGGAUUACCACGAAUUAAUUGAACUUGAGUGGGGUUAAGGAAAAUAAGAGAUCUUAGAAUAACCUUAACCACCUCGUGGUCGUCCCACUUCUUACUCCCGAGGUUGCGCACUUGGUUCACCAAGGUCUUGAGCCGGUUGUACAUAUCUUGUGGCUCCUCCCCUUAGCGAAGACGAAAGCGACCAAGCUCCCCCUCGAUCGUUUCCCGCUUGGUGAUCUUGGUGAGUUCAUCACCCUCGUGCGCGGUCUUGAGAAGGUCCCAAAUUUCCUUUGCAUUCUUCAACCCUUGCACCUUGUUGUAUUCCUCCUUGCUUAGAGAGGCGAGGAGUAUGGUUGUAGCUUGGGAGUUGAAGUGCUCGAUUUGGGCCACUUCGUCUGUAUCAUAAUCCUCAUCCCCUAUGGAUGGUACCUGUGCUCCAAACUCAACAACAUUCCAUAUACUUUUGUGGAGUGAGGUUAGAUGAAAUUUCAUUAAAUCACUCUACCUAGCAUAAUCUUCGCCAUCAAAAGUUGGCGGUUUGCCUAAUGGAACAGAAAGUAAUGGAGUAUGUCUAGAUGUACGAGGAUAGUGUAAGGGGAUCUUACUAAACUUCUUGCACUCUUGGCGCUUAGAAGUUACGGACGGCGCAUCGGAGUCGGAGGUCGAUGUUGAUGAAGUGUCGGUCUCGUAGUAGACCACCUUCCUCAUCCUCUUGUGCUUGUCGUCUUUCCGAUGCGACUUGUGGGAAGAAGAUUUUUCCUUCUUCUCUUUGUGGUGAGAAGAAGAAGACCUUUUCUCCUUCCGUUUGGAGGAGUCCUUCUUCUUCUCCUUCCUCUUGGUGCGGGACUCUUCCGAUGAAGUGCUCCCUUGGCUCGUAGUGGGCUUGUCGCCGGUCUCCAUCUCCCUCUUGGUGUGAUCUCCCGACAUCACUUCGAGCGGUUAGGCUGUAAUGAAGCACCGGACUCUGAUACCAAUUGAAAGUCGCCUAGAGGGGGGUGAAUAGGGCGAAACUGAAAUUCUCAAAAAUAAUCACAACUACAAGCCGGGUUAGCGUUAGAAAUAUAAUCGAGUCCGCGAGAGAGGGCGCAAAACAAAUCGCAAGAGAAUAAGGAGUGCGACACGCUGAUUUGUUUUACCGAGGUUCGGUUCUCGCAAACCUACUCCCCGUUGAGGAGGCCACAAAGGCCGGGUCUCUUUCAACCCUUCCCUCUCUCAAACGGUCCCUCGGACCGAGUGAGCUUCUCUUUCUCAAAUCACUUGGGAAUCAAACUUCCCGCAAGGACCACCACACGAUUGGUGUCUCUUGCCUUAAUUACAAGUGAGUGUUUGAUCACAAGAAAGAAUGCCAAAGAAAAGAAGCGAUCCAAGCGCAAGAGCUCAAAUGAACACUACAAAUCACUCUCUCUAGUCACUAAGGCUUUGUGUGGAGUUGGGAGAGGAUUUGAUCUCUUUUGGUGUGCUUUGCAAUGAAUGCUAGCUCUUGUAUAGUGGUUGGAAGCUGGAAAACUUGGAUGACUUGAAUGUGGGGUGGUUGGGGGUAUUUAUAGCCCCAACCACCAAACUAGCCGUUGGUGGAGGCUGUCUGUCGUAUGGUGCACCGGACAGUCCGGUGCACACCGAACAUGUCCGGUGCGCCAGCCACGUCACCAAAGCCGUUGCAAUUUGACCGUUGGAGUUCUGACUUCUGGGCCUGCCUGGAUGUCCGGUGGCGCACCGGACAUGUACUGUAGAGUGUCCGGUGCGCCAGCAUGGGCGUGCCUGACGCCUGCGCGCUCUGGCGCGCAUUAAUUGCUGUUGCAGGCGACCGUUGGCGCGAAGUAGCCGUUGCUCCGCAGUUGCACCGGACAGUCCGGUGUACACCGGACAUGUCCGGUGAAUUAUAGCGGAGCAGCCGCUACAGAUUCCCGAGGCUGCCAAGUUCCAGAGCCGCGUCCUUUUGGUGCACCGGACACUGUCCGGUGUACACCGGACAGUCCGGUGAAUUAUAGCGCGCCGGCUUCUGGAAAUUCCCGAGGUUGAGGAGUUCAGUGUGCGGUCCCCUGGUGCACCGGACACUGUCCGGUGCGCCACCGGACAGUCCGGUGCGCCAGACCAGGGAGCCUUUCGGGAUGCCUUUAGCUCACUAAUUUGAACCCAACUUUGGUCUUUUUAAUUGGCUUGUUGUGAACCUUUGACACCUGUAUAACUUAUACACUAGAGCAAACUAGUUAGUCCACUUGUUUGUGUUGGACAAUUCAACCACCAAAAUUAUUUAGGAACUAGGUGUAAGCUUAAUUCCCUUUCAAUCUCUAAGAUUAGGAAUUGAAGCAUCACAAACAUUUGAAUCAACCUUAGCAAUUAAACUAGCAUUCUCAUUUCUAAGGUUGGUAAUGACAUCAUGGCAAGUGCUUAGCUCACUAGAUAAUUUUUCACAUUUUUCUACUUCUAGAGCAUAAGCAUUCUUAACCUUAACAUGCUUCUUAUUUUCCUUAAUUAGGAAGUCCUCUUGGGAGUCCAAGAGUUCAUCCCUUUCAUGAAUAGCACUAAUUAAUUCAUUUAAUUUUUCUUUUUGUUGCAUGUUUAGGUUGGCAAAAAGGGUACGCAAAUUAUCCUCCUCAUCACUACAAUUAUCCUCAUCACUAGAGGUUUCAUAUUUAGUGGAGGAUCUUGAUUUUACCUUCUUCCUUUUGCCGUCCAUUGCCAUGAGGCACUUGUGGCCGAUGUUUGGGAAGAGGAGGCCCUUGGUGACGGCGAUGUUGGCGGCGUCCUCAUCGGAGGAGGAGUCGGUGGAGCUCUCGUCGGAGUCCCACUCGCAGCACACAUGGGCAUCGCCACCCCUCUUCUUGUGAUACCUCUUCUUUUCUCUCCUCUUGCCCUUCUUGUCGUCGCCCCUGUCACUGUCACUAGAUAGUGGAUAUUUUGCAAUAAAAUGAUUGGGCUUACCACAAUUGUAGCAAACUUUCUUGGAGCGGGGCUUGAAAUCUUUCCCCCUCCUUUGCUUGAGGAUUUGGCGGAAGCUCUUGAUGAUGAGCGCCAUUUCCUCAUUGUCGAGCUUAGAGGCGUCGAUGGGUUGUCUACUUGAUGUAGACUCCUCCUUCUUCUCCUCCGUUGCCUUGAAUGCGACCGGUUGUGCUUCGGUCGUGGAGGGGCCAUCUAGCUCGAUGAUUUUCUUUGAGCCUUUGAUCAUCAACUCAAAGCUCACAAAGUUUCUUAUUACUUCCUCGGGAGACAUUAGUGUAUAUCUAGGAUUACCACGAAUUAAUUUGAACUUGCGUAGGGUUAAGAAAAACAAGUGAUCUAAGGAUAACCUUAACCAUUUCAUGGUCAUCCUAUUUUGUGCUCCCGAGGUUGCGCACUUGGUUAACCAAGGUCUUCAAGCGGUUGUACAUGGCUUGAGGGUCCUCGCCUUGGUUGAGUCGGAAUCGACCGAGCUCCCCCUCGAUCGUCUCCCGCUUGGUGAUUUUGGUCACCUCAUCUCCUUCGUGCGCGGUUUUGAGUACGUCCCAAAUCUCCUUAGCACUCUUCAAUCCUUGCACCUUGUUAUACUCCUCUCGACUUAGAGAGGUGAGGAGUAUAGUGGUGGCUUGGGAGUUGAAGUGCACGAUUUGGGCCACCUCGUCCUCAUCAUAAUCUUCAUCCCCUACGGAUGGUACCUGUACACCAAACUCAACAACAUCUCAUAUGCUUUUGUGGAGUGAGGUUAGGUGAUAUCUCAUCAUUUCACUCCACCUAGAAUAAUCUUCACCGUCAAAUGUCGGUGGUUUGCCUAAUGGGACGGAAAGUAAUGGAGUAUGCUUAGGAAUGCGAGGAUAGCGUAGGGGGAUAUUACUAUACUUCUUGCGCUCUUGGCGCUUAGAAGUGACGGACUCGGUGUCGGAUCCGGAUGUAGAGGGUGAGGAAGAAUCAGUCUCGUAGUAGACCACUUUCUUCAUUUUCUUCUUCUUCUCGCCACUCUUGUGCGAUCGAAUGCGUGAAGGGGGUCCAUCCUUCUUUUUGUUGGCGGACUCCCUUGAUGGAGCCUUCCCGUGGCUUGUAGCGGACUUCUCACCGCCGAUCACCAUCUUCUUGGCGUAAUCUCCCGACAUCACUUCGAGCGGUUAAGCUCUAAUGAAGCACCGGGCUCUGAUACCAAUUGAAAGUCGCCUAGAGGGGGGGUGAAUAGGGAGAAUCUGAAAUUUAUAAACUUAAGCACAACUACAAGCCGGGGUUAGCGUUAGAAAUAUAAACGAGUCCGUGAGAGAGGGCGGAAAAACAAAUCGCGGGCAAAUAAAGAGUGAGACACGAUGAUUUGUUUUACCGAGGUUCGGUUCUUGCAAACCUACUCCCCGUUGAGGUGGUCACAAAGACCGGGUCUCUUUCAACCCUUUUCCCUCUCUCAAACGGUCACUUAGACCGAGUGAGCUUCUCUUCUCAAUCAAACGGGACACAAAGUCCCCGCAAGGACCAACACACAAUUGGUGUCUCUUGCCUUGGUUACAAUUGAGUUUGAUCACAAGAAUGAAGAAAGAAAAGAAGCAAUCCAAGCGCAAGAGCUCAAAUGAACACAAAUGUCACUCUCUCUAGUCACUAUUUGAUUUGGAGUGAUUCCGGACUUGGGAGAUGAUUUGAUCUCUUUGGUUGUGUCUAGAAUUGAAUGUUAUAGCUCUUGUAAGGUGUUGAAGGUGGAAAACUUGGAUGCAAUGAAUGGUGCGUGGUUGGGGGUAUUUAUAGCCCCAACCACCAAACUAGUCGUUUGGUGGAGGCUGCUGUCGCAUGGCGCACCGGACAGUCCGGUGCGCCUGCCACGUCACCAAACCGUUGGAUUCCGACCGUUGGAGCUUCUGUCUUCUGGGCCACCGGACAGUCUGGUGGUACACCAGACAGUCUGGUGGUACACCGGACAGGCACUGUUCAGUGUCCGGUGCGCCAUCUGGCUCUGCUCUGACUCUGGCGCGCACUGUAGCGCAUUUAAUGCCUUCUGUAGACGACCAUUGGCGCGAAGUAGCCAUUGCUCCGCUGGCACACCGGACAGUCCGGUGCUACACCGGACAGUCCAGUGCUACACCGGACAGUCCGGUGAAUUAUAGCGGAGCGGCCUCCAGAAUUCCCGAAGGUGAGCAGUUCGGAGUUGGAGUCCCUGGUGCACCGGACACUAUCCGGUGGCACACCGGACAGUCCGAUGCGCCAAACCAGGGCACACUUCGGUUGACUUUAGCUCUCAAUAUUUGAAUCCUUUCUCGGUCUUUUUAUUGGUUUGUUGUGAACCUUUGGCACCUUUAGAACUCAUAAUCUAGAGCAAACUAGUUAGUCCAAUUAUUUGUGUUGGGCAUUUCAACCACCAAAAUCAAUUUAGGAAAAGGUGUAAGCCUAUUUCCCUUUCAAUUAUUACACAUAAAUAUAGUAUAUAUAUAUAUAUUGUCUACAACUGUGCAAAAACGUCGUUGUCUCGUUGUACGCUGAGAGCCUAAGUGGUUGGGCCUGAAACUAUGAAGUACUACUACUAGAAUAUAGAAAUCAAGAUUGAUAGGGUAUGCCUAAUUACCCUUGCUUGUUGUUGUCGUGUUGUUGACUUAUAAUUAGGUCUUUAAAAUUUUUAUAGAGCUAGUAGACAAGCCUAUAUAUAUAUAUAUAUAUAUAUAUAUAUAUAUAUAUAUAUAUAUAUAUAUAUAUAUAUAUAUAUAUAUAUAUAUAUAUAUAUAUCGAGGUAAUGGAAGCCCUGGGCUUCGAUUAGUAGGGGAAGCCUCAGUCAGGACACGGAUAGGCCACCACCUCGCGUGAUUGCGUCAGCAUUUAUGCUGGUAUAACCGAAUUAUAGAAUUUGCAUAUACCAUACAACGAAUCUGGAAAGGCAGUUCACCUAUGCAUGUGUCAGUAUUUAUACCGGGAUAAAUAGAUUGAAUAAUGUGCAUAAACCAUGCAAAAAGAAUCUGCUGACGCGCAAAUCACAUGUGACGACUUUACAAGUUUGUUCAGUGUUUACGACUGCAUAAGAACAUGAAACGUAACAGCAUAAACCAUGCAAUAUCGCUACGUCAAACUAUUCAUGCUAUUGUAUAUAUGUGACCAGUGUGUGCGUAGAUCUGGGUUGGUUUGAGAUUAGGAAAGUAGUGCUGCAGAUUCGCGAUAAAUGUGGAAUGAUUACCGCGUAAAUCGUCGAUCUGUUUCGUAACGACGAAUGGGGCGCAAAUUACGGCGCGAAAAUCACACGCUCCGAUCGUGCUAGGGUUCUAGCUCGGGUGGAUUUAAGCAUAAAACGUGAACCCAAAUAGCAUAAAUGAAUACGAAAUUUACGUUAAUUAUCGAUCUGUUUUGUAAUGGCGAAUGUGGCACUUGCUUUUUAGUGGAAGCGUAAAACACAACGAGAAGUAUCGUAAAUUUUUGUUUGAAAAUGUAUGAAUCACGAUGAUCAUAGAAGGCAUUUGUUUUUGUGCAUAGUAUGCCAAAAUAUAAAGUACAACAUACACAACCACAUCAAAUUCUAGAUAUUAAUUAAUCCUUCCAGUUGAGAAACGUUUAGGAGUUCCUGAAGAGCUAAGCUAAACAGAUUGACUCCAUUCCAGUUAAAACUUCAAGCUCCUGACCAACAACCUAUCACAAGGAAACACAUAUAUACGAUAGUACAAAAGGCGGUUUCAGACAGUAUGACGAAAUAAGCGUAAACUUGUGUACAACAAAGCAUAAAAGUCUGUUGACGUCAUAUUGAAUGGAUCAGAUGGUGCGUCUGAGACAUCUUGUGGGCUGGUCGGGUGAGGGUCAGGGCUUUCCCUAGUUUGCUUUAUAGUUUGUUACUAGAAUUGUUAUAGUCUGUUUGAUUUAUACUUGAUACAAUUUCUUUUGGAGGUAAGAAGAUCAAGGCCAUGAAGGAAGAUAGGUGUACAUAAAUUAUUUUAGCACAACAUCAAACUGUUCCACGACAGGAAAACAAAUUAGCAGAAAAAUUGGAUUGGUAGCAGAUGGACACUGUUCCAACUGCCACCUAAAUGGUAUAAUUGAUUAGUCUUAUAGGCUUGUAGCAGAGAGGGAGCAGGCAAGGUACUCCCUUCUUAGCUUUAGUUAUUCAACGAUGCUACACAAAUUUUCAUUCAGAAUUACAGGUAAUUGAAUGAUGCCCCCGGAAUACCAAAUAGAUGCAGAAAAUCUAGUUUCUGCAAUCAGGCAAGAAAAAAACAGUGAACACAAUAUGAAUUACCCGUAUUGUUUGUUAUGCAACCAACAAUGCCAUAAUCCAAUGACAUGUGUCCAUUAGUUCGUCAUACUCAUUAAUCAUUGCCCUAUUGGAAAAUGAGGCUAUGUUCUUCCAGAAACUGCCUUGAAGAGUUCUAGCGCAACAACAUACCAGCCUCCAGGCGAUGCGCAGCCAUCCGAUUGUCCCUGGAAUAGACCUACUCGCGGGGGGUUGCAAAGCGACGCGAAUCCGGGCGCCGCCUGGCCACAGGCGGGGUGCAGUCGCGUGCUCACCAGAUCCGGCUACCGCCGUCCUUCUCCUUACCUUCCACUGCAGGCGUCGGAGGAGGGGGCAAUAGAGGCCUGGCGGAGAGGCAGGGCAGAGGGAUACGACCAAAGGCGGUGGGGAAAGGGUGGUCGACUUCACUAGGGCACUCACGCGUGGCAGCCAUAGGGGCAGCAGAUGAUGUGCGGGUUGCAGAGCGGUAUGAGGCGACGGGGGGGGGGGGGGGGGGGGGGGGGGGGCACGACUGGUAGCGGAGGCCGAGCGGUGCAGGGAGACGACAGCAAGAGGCGUGGGGCGAUGGUGAUGAUGGAUUCUGAUGGACAAGCACGGUUUAGGUUUUUGCGUGGGGGUGGGUGGUGGAUUUGGGGUCCAUGCGGUGGUUCGAUUGUAUAAGAUUGGUGCGGCUGGAUCGAAGGUUAGACUAGGACUUUCUGUAGUAAUUGAGAGCCCAAGGCUCUUAAUACAUAAACUAUAUAUAGGGUUAUAUAUAUUGUUAUUUAAUACAUGUGGUGAGGCCCCACUAAUCUAGGGGCACUACUCGACCCCCGCCAGGGCCGGCGCUGUCGAGGAUGUGAUGCUUGGGGCAGCUCCCCUUCCUGUUUUAGAUAUGACCAAAAACCGUUCCCACAGUUCAUCAAUAAGGAUUGUUAAAAGAGAUUAUCAUUUUGUCAAACUGGUAAGGUUUUCUGCUCUUUGAAAGUCGCAUAGAGGGGGGGUGAAUAGUCAAGUCUGAAAUUUAUAAAGUUUAAACACAACUACAAGCCGAGGUUAGCGUUAGAAAUAUAAACGAGUCCGAAAGAGAUGGCGAAAACAAAUCACAAGCGAAUGAGAGCGGAUGACACGGUGAUUUGUUUUACCGAGGUUCAGUUCUUGCAAACCUACUCCCCGUUGAGGUGGUCACAAAGACCGGGUCUCUUUCAACCCUUUCCCUCUCUCAAACGGUCACUUAGACCGAGUGAGCCUUUCUCUUCAAUCAAAUGGGACACUAAGUCCACUACAAGGACCACCACAACUUGGUGUCUCUUGUUUUGAUUACAAGUGAGUUGAACACAAGAAAGAAGGAAGAAGAAAAACAAUCCAAGCGCAAGAGCUCAAAUGAACACAAAUGUCUCUCUCUCUCUAGUCACUAAUUUGAUUGGAGUGAUUCCGGACUUGGGAGAGGAUUUGAUCUCUUUGAUUGUGUCUUUGAAUGAAGUCUAGAGCUCUUGUAUGUGGUUUGAUGGCUGAAAACUUGGAUGCCAUGAAUGGUGGGUGGUUGGGGGUAUUUAUUGCCCCAACCACCAAAGUGUCCGUUGGUGAGGGCUUGUGUUGCAUGGCGCACCGGACAGUCCGGUGCGCCAGGCACGUCACCCGGCCGUUGGGUUCUGACCGUUGGAGCUUCUGACAGGUGGGCCACCGGACAGUCCGGUGGUGCACCGGACAGUCACUAUUCACUGUCCGGUGCGCCUUCUGGCGCUGCUCUGACUUCUGCGCGCGCAGGCGCGCACUGUUCACUUUUACUGUUCCAUUGCAAACGAUCGUUGGCGCUGUGUAGCCGUUACUCCGCUGGCACACCGGACAGUCCGAUGCUACACCGGACAGUCCGGUGAAUUAUAGAGGAGCGGCUCCCAGAAUUCCCGAAGGUGGCAAGUUCGGAGUUGGGUUCCCUGGUGCACCGGACACUGUCCGGUGGCACACCGGACAGUCCGGUGCGCCAGACCAGGGCAGCCUUCGGGUGUCUUUUGCUCUCUUUAUUUGAACCCUUUUCUUGGUCUUUUUAUUGGUUUGUUGUGAACCUUUGACACCUGUAAAACUUAUAAUCUAGAGCAAACUAGUUAGUACAAUUAUUUGUGUUGGGUAAUUCAACCACCAAAAUCCAUAUAGGAAAAGGUGUAAGCCUAUUUCCCUUUCAAUCUCCCCAUUUUUGGUGAUUGAUGCCAACACAAACCAAAGCAAAUAUAAAAGUGCAGAACUGAACUAGUUUGCAUAAGGUAAGUGCAAAGGUUGCUUGGAAUGAAACCAAUAAUCAUUUCUACUAGAUAUGCAUGGAUGGCUUUCUUCUAAUUUAAAAUUUUGGACCACGCUUGCACCACUUGUUUUGUUUUUGCAAAUUCUUUUGUAGAUUCUUUUCAAAGUCUUUUUGCAAAUAGUCAAAGGUAAAUAAAUAAGAUUUUAAGAAGCAUUUUCAAGAUUUGAAAUUUUCUCCCCCUGUUUCAAAUGCUUUUCAUUUGACUAAACAAAACUCCCCCUUAAUGAAAUCCUCCUCUUAGUGUUCAAGAUGAUUUUAUAUAUUAAUUUUGAAGAGGGUAUACCAAUUUGAAACUAUAUCAAAAAUAAGAUACCAAUUUGAAAUUCUUUAAAAACACUUCUUUAAUACAAAUUUAAAAACUACAAUUUUUUGAAAUUGGUGGUGGUGCGGUCCUUUUGCUUUGGGCUAAUACUUUCUCCCCCUUUGGCAUGAAUCGCCAAAAACGGAUACUUGUGAGUGAAAUAUAAGCCCUAUGGUUUCUCUCCCUUUGGCAAAUAAUAUAUGAGUGAAGAUUAUACCGAAUUGGAGAUUGUUGUGGAGCGACGGCGAAGGAUGAAUAAUUCGAUGGAGUGGAGUGGAAGCCUUGUCUUCGCCGAAGACUCCAUUUCCCCUUUCAAUCUAUGACUUAGCAUAACAUGCACUUGAAGAACAGAUUAGUAAUAGUACAUGAAAGAGAUGAUCAAAGGUAUAUAAAUGAGCUAUGUGUGCAAAACAUCAAUCAAAAUUCCUAGAAUCAAGAAUAUUUAGCUCAUGCCUAAGUUUGGUAAAAGUUUUCUCAUCUAGUGGUUUGGUAAAGAUAUCGGCUAAUUGUUCUUUAGUGUUAAUAUAAGCAAUCUCGAUAUCCCCCCUUUGUUGGUGAUCCCUCAAAAAGUGAUACCGAAUGGCUAUGUGUUUAGUGCGACUGUGCUCAACGGGAUUAUCCGCCAUGUGGAUUGCACUCUCAUUAUCACAUAGAAGAGGAACUUUGGUCAAUUUGUAACCAUAGUCCCUAAGGGUUUGCCUCAUCCAAAGCAAUUGCACGCAACAGUGACCUGCGGCAAUGUACUCGACUUCGGCGGUCGAAAGAGCGACAGAAUUUUGCUUCUUUGAAGCCCUAGACACCAGAGAUCUUCCCAAGAACUGGCAAGUCCCUGAUGUGCUCUUUCUAUCAAUUUUAUACCUUGCCCAAUCAGCAUCUGAAUAUCCAAUUAAAUCAAAAGUGGAUCCCCUGGGUUACCAAAGGCCAAACUUAGGAGUAUAAACUAAAUAUCUCAAGAUUCGUUUUACGGCCCUAAGGUGAACUUCCUUAGGAUCGGCUUGGAAUCUUGCACACAUGCAUACAGAAAGCAUAAUAUCCGGUCGAGAUGCACAUAAAUAAAGUAAAGGACCUAUCAUCGACCGGUAUACCUUUUGAUCUACGGAUUUACCUCCCAUGUCGAGGUCGAGAUGCCCAUUAGUUCCCAAGGGUGUCUUGAUGGGCUUGGCAUCCUUCAUCCCAAACUUGGUGAGUAUGUCUUGAAUGUACUUUGUUUGGCUAAUGAAGGUGCCCUCUUGGAGUUGCUUUACUUGAAAUCCUAAGAAAUACUUCAGCUCCCCCAUCAUAGACAUCUCGAAUUUUUGAAUCAUGAUCCUACUAAAUUCUUCAUAAGUAGAUUUGUUAGUAGACCCAAAUAUGAUAUCAUCAACAUAAAUUUGGCAUACAAACAAAUCAUUUGCAAUAGUUUUAGUGAAUAGAGUAGGAUCGGCUUUUCUGACUUUGAAGUCAUUAGAAAUGAGAAAAUCUCUUAGGCAUUCAUACCAUGCUCUUGGGGCUUGCUUGAGCCCAUAAAGCGCCUUAGAGAGUUUGUAGACGUGAUUAGGGUACUCACUAUCUUCAAAGCCGGGAGGUUGCUCAACAUAGGCCUCCUCCUUGAUUGGUCCAUUGAGGAAGGCACUUUUCACGUCCAUUUGAUAAAGCUUAAAGCCAUGGUAAGUAGCAUAGGCAAGUAAAAUGCGAAUUGACUCAAGCUAGCUACGGGUGCAUAGGUUUCACCGAAAUCCAAACCUUCGACUUGUGAAUAUCCUUUGGCCACAAGUCGGGCUUUGUUCCUUGUCACCACACCAUGCUCAUCUUGCUUGUUGCGGAAGACCCACUUGGUUCCUACAACAUUUUGAUUAGGACGUGGAACUAAAUGCCAUACCUCAUUCAUCGUGAAGUUGUUGAGUUCCUCUUGCAUUGCCAACACCUAAUCCGAAUCCCUUAAUGCGUCUUAUACCCUGUAUGGCUCAAUAGAAGACACAAAGGAGUAAUGUUCACAAAAAUGAGCAACACGAGAUCAAGUGGUUACCCCCUUAUGAAUAUCGCCGAGGAUGGAGUUCACGGGGUGAUCUCGUUGUAUUUGCUUGGUGGACUCUUGGGUGUGGCGGUCUUGGACCCUCAUCAUCUUCUUUGUCUUGAUCAUUAGCAUCUCCCCCUUCAUUAUUGCCCUCCUCUUGAGGUGGCUCAUCUUCUUGAUCUUCAUUUUCAUCCUCUUGAGCUUGAUCCUCAUCUUGGGUUGGUGGAGAUGCUUGUAUGGAGGAAGAUGGUUGAUCUUGUGCUUGUGGAGGCUCUUCGAAUUCCUUAGGACACACAUCUCCAAUGGACAUGUUCCUUAGCGCGACGCACGGAGCCUCUUCAUCAUCUAGCUCAUCAAGAUCAACUUGCUCUAAUUGAGAGCCGUUAGUCUCAUCAAACACAAUGUCACAAGAAACUUCAACUAGUCCAGUGGACUUGUUAAAGACUCUAUAUGCCCUUGUGUUUGAAUCAUAUCCUAGUAAAAAGCCUUCUACAGCCUUAGGAGCAAAUUUAGAUUUUCUACCUCUUUUAACAAGAAUAAAGCAUUUGCUACCAAAGACUCUAAAAUAUGAAACAUUGGGCUUUUUACCGGUUAGGAGUUCAUAAGAUGUCUUCUUGAGGAUUCUGUGAAGAUAGAGGUGGUUGAUGGCGUAGCAAGCGGUGUUGAUUGCUUCCGCCCAAAACCGGUCCGAAGUCUUGUACUCAUCAAGCAUGGUCCUCGCCAUGUCAAGUAGAGUUCUAUUCUUCCUCUCCACUACACCAUUUUGUUGUGGCGUGUAGGGAGAAGAGAACUCAUGCUUGAUGCCCUCAUCCUCAAGAAAGCCUUCAAUUUGAGAGUUCUUGAACUCCGUCCCGUUGUCGCUUCUAAUCUUUUUGAUCCUUAAGCCGAACUCAUUUUGAGACCAUCUCAAGAACCCCUUCAAUGUCUCUUGGGUUUGUGAUUUUUCCUGCAAAAAGAACAUCAAAGUGAAGCGAGAAUAAUCAUCCACAAUCACAAGACAAUACUUACUCCCGCCGAUGCUUAUGUAAGCGAUCGGGCCGGAUAGAUCCAUGUGGAGUAACUCAAGCGGCCUGUCGGUCGUCAUGAUGUUCUUGUGUGGAUGAUGAACACCAACUUGCUUCCCUGCCUGACAUGCGCUACAAACCCUAUCUUUCUCAAAAUGAACAUUGGUUAGUCCCAAAAUGUGCUCUCUCUUUAGAAACUUAUGAAGAUUCUUCAUCCCAACAUGGGCUAGUCGGCGGUGCCAGAGCCAACCCAUGUUAGUCUUAGCAAUUAAGCAAGUGUUGAGUUCAGCUCUAUUAAAAUCAACUAAGUAUAGCUGACCCUCUAACACUCCCUUAAAUGCUACUGAAUCAUCACUUCUUUUAAAGACAGUAACACCUAAAUCUGUAAAAAGACAGUUGUAGCCCAUUUUACACAAUUGAGAAAUAGAAAGCAAAUUGUAAUCUAAAAAAUAUACAAGAAAAACAUUGGAAAUAGAAUGGUCAGGUGAUAUUGCAAUUUUACCAAGUCCUUUGACCAAACCUUGAUUUCCAUCCCCGAAUGUGAUAGCUCGUUGGGGAUCUUGGUUUUUCUCAUAGGAGGAGAACAUCCUUUUCUCCCCUGUCAUGUGGUUUGUGCAUCCGCUAUCGAUGAUCCAACUUGAGCCCCCGGAUGCAUAAACCUACAAAACAAAUUUAGGCCUUGUUCUUAGGUACCCAAACGGUCUUGGGUACUUUGACAUUAGUGAGAGCACCUAGAGGGGGGGGGGGGUGAAUAGGUGAUCCUCUAAAACUUGAAAACUUAAGCCACAAAAACUUGGUUAAGCGUUAGCACAGUAAAUGCCAAGUGGCUAGAGAGGAGUCUCAAUAAAACACAAUAACCACAAGAAAUCAAUCACAGAGAUGGCACGAUGGUUAUCCCGUGGUUCGGCCAAGACCAACGCUUGCCUACUCCACGUUGUGGCGUCCCAACGGACGAGGGUUACAAUCAACCCCUCUCAAGCGGUCCAAAGACCCACUUGAAUACCACGGUGUUUUGCUUGCUUUUCUCAAUCCCGUUUGCGAGGAAUCUCCACAACUUGGAGCCUCUCGCCCUUACCUUGAAGUUCACAAAGAAGCACAGAGCAAGGGAGGAUUAGCAACGCACACAAGACACAAGAAUCAGAGUGUCAACAUGCACACAAGUCACAACAAGAGCUCGCAACACAACUCAAUGAGUUCACAACUCCACUAGAGCUCUAUAUGCUAUCACAAUGAAACAAAUGCGCGGAAUCGAGGUCUUGGUGCUUAGGAAUGUUGCAGGAAUGCUUGGUGUACUCCUCCAUGCGCCUAGGGGUCCCUUUUAUAGCCCCAAGGCAGCUAGGAGCCGUUGAGAGCAUUCUAGGAAGGCUGAUCUUGCCUUCUGUCGACUGGCGCACCGGACAGUCUGGUGCACACCGGACACUGUCCGGUGCCCGAUUUCCUUCCAAAAAUGGCACAGUCGACCGUUGGUAGCCUGAGAGCCGUUGGCGCACCGGACAUGUCCGGUGCACACCGGACAGUCCGGUGCCUCCUUCUAGCCGUUGGCUCGGCCACGUGUCCCGCGCAGAUUGCGCGGCCGACCGUUGGCCCGGCCGACCGUUGGCUCACCGGACAGUCCGGUGCACACCGGACAGUCCGGUGAAUUAUAGUCGUACGUCGCCGGUGAAUUCCCGAGAGCGGCCACUUCGCUCGAGCCAGCCUGGCGCACCGGACACUGUCCGGUGCACCACCGGACAGUCCGGUGCACCCAGACUCAGCAGAGUCUUGGCUGCUCAAGCCAAGACAUUUUCAAUUGGUUUUUUCAUGUUUCCAGCACUUAGACACAAUACAUUAGUCCAUAAAACAAUGUACUAAGUCUGAGAAACAUACCUUUAUCCUUGAUUUGUACUUUGUCCACCUUUUUACACUUAGGCACUUGUUGGGCACUAAAUCACCAAAAUACUUAGAAAUGGCCCAAGGGCACAUUUCCCUUUCAAUCUCCCCCUUUUUGGUGAUUUAUGCCAACACAACAUAAAGCAAGUAGAACAAGUACAAAAUCAAUUUAAAUAAGAACCCAAAAUUGUUUUGAUUCAAUUUUGACAUAUAUGGAUCAUCCUUUGCCACCACUUGGUUUGUUUUUGCAAAUCAAACUCAAAUUCCUAUCUCUAAGUCAAAUCCACUUGUAGAGACAUAAAGAGAGGUGAUAGUCGCCUAGAGGGGGGGUGAAUAGGGCGAAACUGAAAUUUACAAAUAUAAACACAACUACAAGCCGGGUUAGCGUUAGAAAUAUAAACGAGUCCGAGAGAGAGGGCGCAAAACAAAUCCCAAGCGAAUAAGCAAGUGAGACACAGAGAUUUGUUUUACCGAGGUUCGGUUCUUGCAAACCUACUCCCCGUUGAGGAGGCCACAAAGGCCGGGUCUCUUUCAACCCUUCCCUCUCUCAAACGGUCCCUCGGACCGAGUGAGCUUCUCUUCUCAAAUCAAAGCCGGGAACAAAACUUCCCCGCAAGGGCCACCACACAAUUGGUGCCUCUUGCCUUGAUUACAAUGGAGUUGUGAUCUCAAGAAUAAGUGAGAAAGAAAAGAAGCAAUCCAAGCGCAAGAGCUCAAAUGAACACGGCAAAUCACUCUCACUCGUCACUAGGGCUUUGUGUGGAAUUGGAGAGGAUUUGAUCUCUUUAGUGUGUCUAGAAUUGAAUGCUAGAGCUCUUGUAGUAGUUGAGAAGUGGAAAACUUGGAUGCAAUGAAUGGUGGGGUGGUUGGGGUAUUUAUAGCCCCAACCACCAAAUGUGGCCGUUGGGAGGCUGUCUGCUUGAUGGCGCACCGGACAGUCCGGUGCACACCGGACAGUCCGGUGCCCCCUACCACGUCAUCACUGCCGUUGGAUUCUGACCGUUGGAGCUUCUGACUUGUGGGCCCGCCUGGGUGUCCGGUGCACACCGGACAGGUACUGUUGGCUGUCCGGUGUGCCAGCAUGGGCGAUUCUGACUUCUGCGCGCGCAGAGGGCGCAUUAAAUGCGCGACAGAGAGCCGUUGGCGCGGAGAUGACCGUUGCUUCGGAGACGCACCGGACAGUCCGGUGCACACCGGACAGUCCGGUGAAUUUUAGCGGACUAGCCGUUGGCGUUUCCCGAAGCUGGCGAGUUCCUGAGGCCGCUCCUCCUUGGCGCACCGGACACUGUCCGGUGUACACCGGACAGUCCGGUGAAUUAUAGCGCGAGUGCCUCCGGAAAUUCCCGAAGGUGGCAAGUUUGAGUCUGAGUCCCCUGGUGCACCGGACAGGUACUGUUCACUGUCCGGUGGCACACCGGACAGUCCGGUGCGCCAGACCAGGGGUGCCUUCGGUUGCCCCUUUGCUCCUUUGUUGAAUCCAAAACUUGGUCUUUUUAUUGGCUGAGUGUGAACCUUUUACACUUGUAUAAACUAUACACUUGGGCAAACUAGUUAGUCCAAAGAUUUGUGUUGGGCAAUUCAAUCACCAAAAAUAUUUAGGACUUAGGUGUAAGCCUAAUUCCCUUUCAAUCUCCCCCUUUUUGGUGAUUGAUGCCAACACAAACCAAAGCAAAUAUAGAAGUGCAUAAUUGAACUAGUUUGCAUAAUGUAAGUGUAAAGGUUGCUUAGAAUUGAGCCAAUAUAACUACUUACAAGAUAUGCAUGGAAUGUUUCUUUCUAAUUUAACAUUUUGGACCACGUUUGCACCACAUGUUUUGUUUUUGCAAAUUCUUUUUGUAAAUCUAUUUCAAAGAUCUUUUGCAAAUAGUCAAAGGUAAAUGAAUAAGAGUUUGCAAAGCAUUUUCAAGAUUUGAAAUUUUCUCCCCCUGUUUCAAAUGCUUUUACUUUGACUAAACAAAAUUCCCCCUAAAAGAGAUCCACCUCUUAGUGUUCAAGAGGGUUUUGAUAUACCAUUUUUGAAAUACUACUUUCUCCCCCUUUUUGAACACAAUAGGAUACCAAAUGAUAAAUACUUUUGGAAAGCACUAAGUUUUUGAAUUUGGUGGUGGUGGUGCGGUCCUUUUGCUUUGGGCUCAUUUCUCCCCCUUUUUGGCAUGAAUCGCCAAAAACGGAAUCAUUAGAGCCCUCGAAGUAAUUUCUUCCCCUUUGGUCAUAAGUAAAUGAGUUAAGAUCAUACCAAAGACGAAAUCCGGUCCUUUUGCUUUGGGCUUUUACUUUCUCCCCCAAAGACAAGGUCCUUUUCUUGGAGCGAUGGCGAAGGAUGAGUUACGGAGUGGAAGCCUUUGUCUUCGCCGAAGACUCCAAUUCUCUUUCAAUAUACCUGUGACUUGGUUUGAAAUAGACUUGAAAACACAUUAGUCAUAGCAUAUAAAAGAGAUAUGAUCAAAGGUAUUCAAAUGAGCUAUGUGUGCAAGCUAGCAAAAGAAGUUUCUAGAAUCAAGAAUAUUGAGCUCAUGCCUAAGUCUGGUAAAAGAUUGUUCAUCAAGUGGCUUGGUAAAGAUAUCGGCUAAUUGAUCUUUAGUAUUAAUGUAAGAAAUCUCAAUAUCCCCCUUUUGUUGGUGAUCCCUAAGAAAAUGAUACCGAAUGGCUAUGUGCUUAGUGCGGUUGUGCUCGACGGGAUUGUCGGCCAUUUUGAUUGCACUUUCAUUAUCACAUAGCAAAGGGACUUUGGUUAAUUUGUAACCGUAGUCCCGCAGGGUUUGCCUCAUCCAAAGCAAUUGCGCGCAACAAUGACCUGCGGCAAUGUACUCGGCUUCGGCGGUGGAAAGAGCGACCGAAUUUUGCUUCUUUGAAGCCCAAGACACCAAGGAUCUUCCCAAGAACUGACAAGUCCCCGAUGUGCUCUUCCUAUUAAUUUUGCACCCCGCCCAAUCGGCAUCCGAAUAACCAAUCAAAUCAAACGUGGAUCCCCGAGGGUACCAAAGCCCAAACUUAGGUGUGUAAGCCAAAUAUCUCAAGAUUCGUUUUACGGCCGUAAGGUGGGAUUCCUUAGGGUCGGAUUGGAAUCUUGCACACAUGCAAACGGAAAGCAUAAUGUCCGGUCGAGAUGCACAUAAAUAAAGCAAUGAACCAAUCAUCGACCGGUAUACCUUUUGAUCCACGGACUUACCUCCCGUGUCGAGGUCGAGAUGCCCAUUAGUUCCCAUGGGUGUCUUGAUGGGUUUGGCAUCCUUCAUCCCAAACUUGGUUAGAAUGUCUUGAGUGUACUUUGUUUGGCUAAUGAAGGUGCCCUCUUGGAGUUGCUUGACUUGGAAUCCUAGAAAAUACUUCAACUCCCCCAUCAUCGACAUCUCGAAUUUCUGUGUCAUGAUCCUACUAAACUCUUCACAUGUAGACUCGUUAGUAGACCCAAAUAUAAUAUCAUCAACAUAAAUUUGGCAUACAAACAGGUCAUUUUCAAGAGUUUUAGUAAAGAGUGUAGGAUCGGCCUUGCCGACUUUGAAGCCAUUAGCAAUAAGGAAAUCUCUUAGGCAUUCAUACCAUGCUCUUGGAGCUUGCUUGAGCCCAUAAAGCGCCUUAGAGAGCCUAUAAACAUGGUUAGGAUACUCACUGUCUUCAAAGCCGGGAGGUUGCUCAACAUAGACCUCUUCCUUGAUUGGUCCAUUGAGGAAGGCACUUUUCACGUCCAUUUGAUAAAGCUUAAAGCCAUGGUAAGUAGCAUAGGCCAAUAAUAUGCGAAUUGACUCAAGCCUAGCUACGGGUGCAUAGGUUUCACCGAAAUCCAAACCUUCGACUUGGGAGUAUCCCUUGGCCACAAGUCGUGCUUUGUUCCUUGUCACCACACCAUGCUCAUCUUGCUUGUUGCGGAAGACCCAUUUGGUUCCUACAACAUUUUGGUUAGGACGUGGAACCAAAUGCCAUACCUCAUUUCUAGUGAAGUUGUUGAGCUCCUCUUGCAUCGCCAUCACCCAAUCCGAAUCUUGAAGUGCUUCCUCUACCCUGUGUGGCUCAAUAGAGGAAACAAAAGAGUAAUGUUCACAAAAAUGAGCAACACGAGAUCGAGUGGUUACCCCCUUAUGAAUGUCGCCGAGGAUGGUGUCGACAGGGUGAUCUCGUUGUAUUGCUUGGUGGACUCUUGGGUGUGGCGGUCUUGGUUCUUCCUCAUCCUCAUCUUCUUGAUUUUGCCCUUCAUCAACUUGAGCCUCAUCCUCAUUUUGAGUUGGUGGAGAUGCUUGCAUGGAGGAGGAUGGUUGAUCUUGUGCAUUUGGAGGCUCUUCGGAUUCCUUAGGACACACAUCCCCAAUGGACAUGUUCCUUAGCGCGAUGCAUGGAGCCUCUUCAUUACCUAUCUCAUCAAGAUCAACUUGCUCUAUUUGAGAGCCGUUAGUUUCAUCAAACACAACGUCACAUGAGACUUCAACUAGUCCAGUGGACUUGUUAAAGACCCUAUAUGCCCUUGUGUUUGAGUCAUAACCAAGUAAAAAGCCUUCUACAGUUUUAGGAGCAAAUUUAGAUUUUCUACCUCUUUUAACAAGAAUAAAGCAUUUGCUACCAAAAACUCUAAAAUAUGAAAUGUUGGGCUUUUUACCGGUUAGGAGUUCAUAUGAUGUCUUCUUGAGGAUUCGGUGAAGAUAUAACCGGUUGAUAGCGUAGCAGGCGGUGUUGACCGCUUCGGCCCAAAACCGGUCCGGUGUCUUGUACUCAUCAAGCAUGGUUCUUGCCAUGUCCAAUAGAGUUCGAUUCUUCCUCUCCACUACACCAUUUUGUUGUGGCGUGUAGGGAGAGGAGAACUCAUGCUUGAUGCCCUCCUCCUCAAGGAAGCCUUCAAUUUGAGAGUUCUUGAACUCCGUCCCGUUGUCGCUUCUUAUUUUCUUGAUCCUUAAGCCGAACUCAUUUUGAGCUCGUCUCAAGAAUCCCUUUAAGGUCUCUUGGGUUUGAGAUUUUUCCUGUAAAAAGAAUACCCAAGUGAAGCGAGAAUAAUCAUCCACUAUUACAAGACAAUACUUACUCCCGCCGAUGCUUAUGUAAGCAAUCGGGCCGAAUAGAUCCAUGUGGAGUAGCUCAAGCGGCCUGUCGGUCGUCAUGAUGUUCUUGUGUGGAUGAUGAACUCCAACUUGCUUCCCUGCCUGGCAUGCGCUACAAAUCCUGUCUUUCUCAAAAUGAACAUUCGUUAAUCCUAAAAUGUGCUCUCCCUUUAGAAGCUUAUGAAGAUUCUUCAUUCCAACAUGGGCUAGUUGGCGGUGCCAGAGCCAACCCAUGUUAGUUUUAGCAAUUAAGCAAGUGUUGAGUUCAGCUCUAUCAAAAUCUACCAGGUAUAGCUGACCCUCUAACACUCCCUUAAAUGCUAUUGAAUCAUCACUUCUUCUAAAGACAGUGACACCUACAUCAGUAAAAAGACAGUUGUAGCCCAUUUGACAUAAUUGUGAAACAGAAAGCAAGUUGUAAUCUAAAGAAUCUACAAGAAAAACAUUGGAAAUAGAAUGGUCAGGAGAUAUAGCAAUUUUACCCAAUCCUUUGACCAAACCUUGAUUUCCAUCCCCGAAUGUGAUAGCUCGUUGGGGAUCUUGGUUUUUCUCAUAUGAGGAGAACAUCCUUUUCUCCCCUGUCAUGUGGUUUGUGCACCCGCUGUCGAGUAUCCAACUUGAGCCCCCGGAUGCAUAAACCUACAAAACAAUUUUAGUUCUUGACUUUAGGUACCCAAACGGUUUUGGGUCCUUUGGCAUUAGAAACAAGAACUUUGGGUACCCAAACACAAGUCUUGGAGCCCUUGUGUUUGCCCCCAACAAACUUGGCAACUACUUUGCCGGAUUUGUUAGUAAGCACAUAAGAAGCAUCAAAAGUUUUAAAUGAAAUGGCAUGAUCAUUUGAUGCAUUAGGAGUUUUCUUUCUAGGCAACUUGGCACGGGUUGGUUGCCUAGAGCUAGAUGUCUCACCCUUAUACAUAAAAGCAUGAUUAGGGCCAGAGUGAGACUUCCUAGAAUGAAUUUUCCUAAUUUUGCUCUCGGGAUAACCGGCAGGGUACAAAAUGUAGCCCUCGUUAUCCUGAGGCAUGGGAGCCUUGCCCUUAACAAAGUUAGACAAGUUCUUGGGAGGGGCAUUAAGUUUGACAUUGUCUCCCCUUUGGAAGCCAAUGCCAUCCUUGAUGCCAGGGCGUCUCCCAUUAUAGAGCAUACUUCUAGCAAAUUUAAAUUUUUCAUUUUCUAAGUUAUGCUUGGCAAUUUUAGCAUCUAGUUUUGCUAUAUGAUCAUUUUGUUGUUUAAUUAAAGCCAUAUGAUCAUGAAUAGCAUCAAUAUCAACAUUUCUACAUCUAGUACAAAUAGUGACAUGCUCAAUGGUAGAUGUAGAUGGUUUGCAAGAAUUAAGUUCAACAAUCUUAGCACGAAGUAUAUCAUUCUUAUCUCUAAGAUCGGCAAUUGUAACUUUGCAAACAUCAAAAUCUUUAGCCUUAGCAAUCAAAUUUUCAUUCUCUAAUCUAAGGCCAGCAAGAGAAAUGUUUAAUUCUUCAAUCCUAGCAAGCAAAUCAUCAUUAUUAACUCUAGGAUUGGGAAUUGAAACAUUACAAACAUGAGAAUCAACCUUAGCACUUAAAAUAGCAUUUUCAUUUCUAAGGUUGUCAAUCAUCUCACGACAAGUGCUUAGCUCACUAGAUAAUUUUUCACAUUUCUCAAUUUCAAGAGCAUAAGCCUUUUUAACCUUAACAUGUUUUUUGUUUUCUUUAAUUAGACAAUCCUCUUGGGAAUCCAAAAGGUCAUCCUUUUCAUGAAUAGCACUAACCAAUUCAUUCAAUUUUUCCUUUUGAGCUAUGUUAAGGUUGGCAAAAAGGGAACGCAAAUUUUCUUCCUCAUCACUAGCAUUGUCAUCACUAGAGGAUUCAUAUUUAGUGGAGGAUUUAGAUUUAACCUUCUUUUUGCCGUCCUUUGCCAUGAGGCACUUGUGGCCGACGUUGGGGAAGAGGAGUCCCUUGGUGACGACGAUGUUGGCGGCGUCCUCGUCGUCGGAGGAGUCGCUUGAGCUCUCGUCGGAAUCCCAUUCCCGACAAACAUGGGCAUCGCCGCCCUUCUUCUUGUAGUACCUCUUCUUCUCCUUUCUUCUCCCCUUCUUGUCGUCGCCUCGGUCACUGUCACUAGAUAUAGGACAUUUAGCAAUAAAAUGACCGGGCUUACCACAUUUGUAGCAAACCUUCUUGGAGCGGGACUUGUAGUCUUUCCCCCUCCUUUGCUUGAGGAUUUGGCGGAAGCUCUUGAUGACGAGCGCCAUUUCCUCAUUGUCAAGCUUGGAGGCGUCUAUGGGUUGUCGACUUGGUGUAGACUCCUCCUUCUUCUCCUCCGUUGCCUUGAAUGCAACGGGUUGAGCUUCGGAUGUGGUGGCAUCAUCAAGCUCGUUGAUCUUCCUCGAGCCUUCGAUCAUGCACUCAAAACUUACAAAAUUCCCGAUAACUUCCUCGGGGGUCAUUUUAGUAUAUCUAGGAUUACCACGAAUUAAUUGAACUUGAGUAGGGUUAAGGAAAAUAAGUGAUCUUAGAAUAACCUUAACCACCUCGUGGUCAUCCCACUUUACGCUCCCGAGGUUGCGCGCUUGGUUCACCAAGGUCUUGAGCCGAUUGUACAUGUGUUGUGGCUCCUCCCCUUUGCGAAGCCGGAACCGACCGAGCUCCCCCUCAAUCGUUUCCCGCUUGGUGAUCUUGGUGAGCUCAUCACCUUCAUGCGCGGUCUUGAGUAAAUCCCAAAUCUCCUUUGCGUUCUUCAACCCUUGAACUUUGUUAUACUCCUCUUUACUCAAAGAGGCUAGGAGUAUUGUUGUUGCUUGAGAGUUGAAGUGCUCGAUUUGGGCCACCUCAUCCUCAUCAUAGUUCUCAUCCCCUACGGAUGGUACCUGCGCACCAAACUCAACAACUUCCCAUAUGCUUUUGUGGAGCGAGGUUAGAUGAAAUCGCAUUAAAUCGCUCCACCUAGCGUAAUCUUCACCAUCAAAAGUUGGUGGUUUGCCUAAUGGGACGGAAAGUAAAGGUGUAUGUUUGGAAAUGCGAGGGUAGCGUAGGGGGAUCUUACUAUACUUCUUGCGCUCUUGGCGCUUAGAAGUGACGGAGGGCGCAUCGGAGUCGGAGGUAGAAGUUGAUGAAGUGUCGGUCUCGUAGUAGACCACCUUCCUCAUCCUCUUAUGCUUGUCGCCUUUCCGAUGCGGCUUGUGGGAAGAAGAUUUUUCCUUCUUCUCUUGGUGGUGAGAAGAGGAAGCCUUUUUCUCCUUCCGUUUGGAGGAGUCCUUCUUCUUCUCCUUCUUCUUGGUGCGGGACUCUUCCGAUGAAGUGCUCCCGUGGCUUGUAGUGGGCUUUUCGCCGGUCUCCAUCUCCUUCUUGGCGUGAUCUCCCGACAUCACUUCGAGCGGUUAGGCUCUAAUGAAGCACCGGGCUCCGAUACCAAUUGAUAGUCGCCUAGAGGGGGGGGUGAAUAGGGCGAAACUGAAAUUUACAAAUAUAAACACAACUACAAGCCGGGUUAGCGUUAGAAAUAUAAACGAGUCCGAGAGAGAGGGCGCAAAACAAAUCCCAAGCGAAUAAGCAAGUGAGACACGGAGAUUUGUUUUACCGAGGUUCGGUUCUUGCAAACCUACUCCCCGUUGAGGAGGCCACAAAGGCCGUGUCUCUUUCAACCCUUCCCUCUCUCAAACGGUCCCUCGGACCGAGUGAGCUUCUCUUCUCAAAUCAAAGCCGGGAACAAAACUUCCCCGCAAGGGCCACCACACAAUUGGUGCCUCUUGCCUUGAUUACAAUGGAGUUGUGAUCUCAAGAAUAAGUGAGAAAGAAAAGAAGCAAUCCAAGCGCAAGAGCUCAAAUGAACACGGCAAAUCACUCUCACUCGUCACUAGGGCUUUGUGUGGAAUUGGAGAGGAUUUGAUCUCUUUAGUGUGUCUAGAAUUGAAUGCUAGAGCUCUUGUAGUAGUUGAGAAGUGGAAAACUUGGAUGCAAUGAAUGGUGGGGUGGUUGGGGUAUUUAUAGCCCCAACCACCAAAUGUGGCCGUUGGGAGGCUGUCUGCUUGAUGGCGCACCGGACAGUCCGGUGCACACCGGACAGUCCGGUGCACACCGGACAGUCCGGUGCCCCCUGCCACGUCAUCACUGCCGUUGGAUUCUGACCGUUGGAGCUUCUGACUUGUGGGCCCGCCUGGGUGUCCGGUGCACACCGGACAGGUACUGUUGGCUGUCCGGUGUGCCAGCAUGGGCGAUUCUGACUUCUGCGCGCGCAGAGGGCGCAUUAAAUGCGCGGCAGAGAGCCGUUGGCGCGGAGAUGACCGUUGCUUCGGAGACGCACCGGACAGUCCGGUGCACACCGGACAGUCCGGUGAAUUUUAGCGGACUAGCCGUUGGCGUUUCCCGAAGCUGGCGAGUUCCUGAGGCCGCUCCUCCUUGGCGCACCGGACACUGUCCGGUGUACACCGGACAGUCCGGUGAAUUAUAGCGCGAGUGCCUCCGGAAAUUCCCGAAGGUGGCAAGUUUGAGUCUGAGUCCCCUGGUGCACCGGACAGGUACUGUUCACUGUCCGGUGGCACACCGGACAGUCUGGUGCGCCAGACCAGGGGUGCCUUCGGUUGCCCCUUUGCUCCUUUGUUGAAUCCAAAACUUGGUCUUUUUAUUGGCUGAGUGUGAACCUUUUACACCUGUAUAAACUAUACACUUGGGCAAACUAGUUAGUCCAAAGAUUUGUGUUGGGCAAUUCAAUCACCAAAAAUAUUUAGGACUUAGGUGUAAGCCUAAUUCCCUUUCAAGAGGUAUUCCAAAAAAAAUUUGAUCAAGGAUUUCAAAAACUCCCCCUUUUUCCCAUAAUCAACACUUCUCCCCACAAGAGGCCAACUUUUGACAUACGAGACAAUAAAAGAGUUUUGACAAACCAAAAGCUCUAAUCUACUAUUUUCAAAAUUUCUCAAGUGGUAGCUGAUCCAUCUAUUGCUUUGGCCUUUAUUUCCCCCCCUUUGGCAUCAAGCACCAAAACGGGAUCAAUCUUGGCCCUUAAACCCCAUUGCCUCACCAAAAUCUUCAAAUAAGAACACAAAGGCAAUAAGAGUACAUGAGAUGAACUUGGAAUAAGUUACCCUCUCAUCGGAGUGCAUGUCUUUCAUGGUCCCAAUCCACCUUUUCCCUUUCAAACCUCCUUUGAGACUAAAUCAAGCAAACUCAAGCAAACGGUUAGUCUCAAAGGGUCAAGUUGUAGCACAGCUCCCCCUAAAUAAGUGCAUCACUUGCAAAAAGGACUUGUGAUGGUCCAGGGAGUGUUUGUACAACUUGAGCACCACAAGUAAGCAACAAAAUGCAUAAGGAACAUGAUCAAAGGCAUAAAUACAUGUAUGCUAUAAAUCAAUCCAAGUUCCGCGAAUCUAGGACAUUUAGCUCACUUCGCAGCCUGCAAAAGGUCUUUUCAUCUAAAGGCUUAGUGAAGAUAUCAGCUAGCUGGUUCUCGGUGCUAACAUGAAACACUUCGAUAUCUCCCUUUUGCUGGUGGUCUCUCAAAAAGUGAUGCCGGAUGUCAAUGUGCUUUGUGCAGCUGUGCUCAACAGGAUUUUCUGCUAUUCGGAUAGCACUCUCAUUGUCACAUAGGAGUGGGACUUUGCUCAGAUUGUAGCCAAAGUCCCGGAGGGUUUGCCUCAUCCAAAGUAGUUGCGCACAACACUGUCCUGCGGCAACGUACUCGGCCUCAGCGGUGGAUAGGGCAACAGAAGUUUGUUUCUUAGAGUUCCACGACACCAGGGACCUUCCUAAGAAUUGGCACGUCCCCGAUGUACUCUUCCUAUCGACCUUACAUCCAGCAUAGUCGGAAUCUGAGUAUCCAAUCAAGUCAAAGUUAGACCCAUUUGGAUACCAGAUCCCGAAGCAAGGCGUAGCGACUAAAUAUCGAAGAAUUCGCUUCACAGCCACUAAGUGACACUCCUUAGGAUCGGAUUGAAAUCUAGCACACAUGCAUACGCUAAGCAUAAUAUCCGGUCUACUAGCACAUAAAUAAAGCAAAGAACCUAUCAUGGACCAGUAUGCUUUUUGAUCAACGGACUUACCUCCUUUGUUGAGGUCGGUGUGUCCGUCAGUUCCCAUCGGCGUCUUUGCGGGCUUGGCAUCCUUCAUCCCAAACCGCUUUAGCAAGUCUUGCGUGUACUUCGUUUGGGAGAUGAAAGUGCCGUCCUUGAGUUGCUUCACUUGGAACCCAAGGAAGUAGUUCAACUCGCCCAUCAUCGACAUCUCGAAUUUCUGUCUCAUCACCCUGCUAAACUCUUCACAAGACUUUUGGUUAGUAGAACCAAAUAUUAUGUCAUCGACAUAAAUUUGGCACACAAAAAGAUCGCCAUCACAAGUCUUAGUGAAAAGAGUUGGAUCGGCUUUCCCAACUUUGAAAGCAUAGCAAUUAAAAAGUCUCUAAGGCAUUCAUACCAUGCUCUUGGGGCUUGCUUAAGUCCAUAGAGCGCCUUAGAGAGCUUACACACGUGGUCGGGGUACCGUUCAUCCUCGAAGCCAGGGGGUUGCUCUACAUACACCUCCUCCUUGAUCGGCCCGUUGAGGAAAGCGCUCUUCACAUCCAUUUGGUACAACCUGAAAGAAUGGUGAGCGGCAUAUGCUAGCAAAAUACGAAUUGAUUCUAGCCUAGCCACAGGAGCAAAAGUCUCCUCAAAGUCCAAAUCUGUGACUUGGGCAUAACCUUUUGCCACAAGUCGAGCCUUGUUCCUUGUCACCACCCCGUGCUCAUCCUGUUUGUUGCGGAACACCCACUUGGUUCCCACAACAUUUUGCUUGGGACGAGGCACCAGUGUCCAAACUUCAUUGCGCUUGAAAUUGUUGAGUUCCUCCUGCAUGGCCAACACCCAGUCCGGAUCUAGCAAGGCCUCUUCUACCCUGAAAGGCUCAAUAGAAGAGACAAAAGAGUAAUGCUCACAAAAAUUAACUAAUCUUGAACGAGUAGUUACUCCCUUGCUAAUAUCACCCAAUAUUUGGUCGACGGGAUGAUCCCUUUGGAUCGUCGCUCGAACUUGGGUUGGAGGUGCCUGAGGUGCUUCUUCCUCUUCAACUUGAUCAUCCUGUGCUCCCCCUUGAUCAUGCGCCUCCACUUGAGGUACCUGUUCGUCAUCUUGGGUUGGGGGAUGCACCAUAGUUGAGGAAGACGGUUGAUCUUGCUCCAAUUGUUCUUGAGGCCGUACAUCUCCAAUCGCCAUGGUGCGUAUCGCGGUCGUUGGAACGUCUUCUUCAUCUACAUCAUCAAGAUCAACAACUUGCUCUCUUGGAGAGCCAUUAGUCUCAUCAAAUACAACGUCGCUAGAGACUUCAACCAAACCCGAUGAUUUGUUGAAGACCCUAUACGCCUUUGUAUUUGAAUCAUAACCUAAUAAAAACCCUUCUACAGCUUUGGGAGCAAAUUUAGAGGUUCUACCUUUCUUCACAAGAAUAUAACACUUGCUCCCAAAUACACGAAAAUAAGAUACAUUGGGUUUGUUACCAGUCAGCAGCUCAUAUGAAGUCUUCUUGAGGAGACGGUGAAGGUAGACCGUGUUGAUGACGUGGCAAGCCGUGUUCACGGCUUCCGACCAAAAGCGCUUGGGGGUCUUGAACUCUCCAAGCAUAGUCCUCACCAUAUCUAUGAGUGUCCUGUUCUUCCUCUCUACCACACCAUUUUGCUGAGGUGUGUAGGGAGCGGAGAACUCGUGCUUGAUCCCCUCCUCAAGGAACUCCUCCACUUGAAGAUUCUUGAAUUCGGACCCAUUGUCGCUUCUUAUCUUCUUCACCUUGAGCUCAAACUCAUUUUGAGCUCUCCUUAGGAAGCGCUUGAGGGUCCCUUGGGUUUCAGACUUAUCCUGCAAAAAGAACGCCCAAGUGAAGCGGGAAAAGUCAUCAACAAUAACUAGACCAUACUUACUUCCUCCUAUGCUCAGAUAGGCGACAGGUCCGAAGAGGUCCAUAUGCAGCAGCUCCAGAGGUCUUGAAGUGGUCAUUACAUUCUUGCUGUGAUGUGCUCCUCCCACUUGUUUACCUGCUUGACAAGCUGCACAAGGUCUAUCUUUUUCGAAAUGUACAUUGGUUAGACCUAUCACAUGUUCUCCCUUUAGAAGCUUGUGGAGGUUCUUCAUCCCCACAUGUGCUAAGCGGUGAUGCCACAACCAGCCCAUGCAAGUCUUAGCCAUUAAGCAUGCAUCUAGACCGGCCUCUUCUUUUGCAAAAUUAACUAAAUAAAGUUUGUCGUCUAGUACACCCUUAAAAGCUAGUGAACCAUCACAUCUUCUAAAGACAGACACAUCUACAUUUGUAAAUAGACAAUUAUAUCCCAUAUUACAUAAUUGACUGACAGAUAGUAAGUUAUAUCCAAGAGACUCAACUAAAAACACAUUAGAGAUAGAGUGCUCAUUAGAUAUUGCAAUCUUGCCUAAACCUUUCACCUUGCCUUGGUUCCUGAAAGGGAAUUAGGCUUACACCUAGUCCCUAAUUAAUUUUGGUGGUUGAAUUGCCCAACACAAAUAUUUGGACUAACUAGUUUGCUCUAGUGUAUAAGUUAUACAGGUGCCAAAGGAUCACACUUAGCAAAUAAAAAGACCAAGUAUUGGGUUCAAACAAAGGAGCAUGGGAUAACCGAAGGCACCUCUGGUCUGGCGCACCGGACUGUCCGGUGCACCAGAGGACUCCAACUCCAAACUCGUCACCUUCGGGAAUUUCCAGAGGCGACUCCGCUAUAAUUCACCGGACUGUCCGGUGUACACCGGACAUGUCCGGUGCUCCAAGGAAGAACGACCUCCAGAACUCGCCAGCCUCGGGAAUUCAGAACGGCUGCUCCGCUAUAAUUCACCGGACUGUCCGGUGUAACAGCGGGGCAACGGCUAUUUCGGCGCCAACGGCUACCUGCGACGCAUUAAAUGCGCGCGCUGCGCGCGCAGAGGUCAGGCACGCCCAUGCCGGCGCACCGGACAAUCUACAGUGCAUGUCCAGUGCGUCACCGGACAUCCAGGCGGGCCCAGAAGACAGAGCUCCAACGGUCGAACCCAACGGCUUUUGGUGACGUGGUUGUCGCACCGGACAUGUCUGGUGUGCACCGGACUGUCCGGUGCGCCAUCGAACAGACAGCCUCACCAAACGGCUAGUUUGGUGGUUGGGGCUAUAAAUACCCCCAACCACCCACCAUUCAUUGCAUCCAAGUUUUCCACUUCUCAACUACUUACAAGAGCUCUAGCAUUCAAUUCUAGACACACCAAAGAGAUCAAAUCCUCUCCAAAUUCCACACAACGCCUUAGUGAUUAGAGAGAGAGAUUUGCUUGUGUUCUUUCGAGCUCUUGCGCUUGGAUUGCUUUCUUCUUUCUUGAUUUCUUCUUGCGAUCAAGCUCACUUGUAAUUGAGGCAAGAGACACCAAUCUUGUGGUGGUCCUUGUGGGAACUUUGUGUUCCAAGUGAUUGAGAAGAGAAAGCUCACUCGGUCCGAGGGACCGUUUGAGAGAGGGUAAGGGUUGAAAGAGACCCGGCCUUUGUGGCCUCCUCAAUGGGGAGUAGGUAUGAGAGAACCGAACCUCGGUAAAACAAAUCUGCGUGUCUCACUUCAUUAUUCGCUUGCGAUUUGUUUUGCACCCUCUCUUUCGCGGACUCUAUUAUAUUUCUAACGCUAACCCGGCUUGUAGUUGUGAUUAUUUUUGAGAAUUUCAGUUUCGCCCUAUUCACCCCCCCUCUAGGCGACUUUCAAUUGGUAUCGGAGCCCGGUGCUUCAUUAGAGCCUAACCGCUCGAAGUGAUGUCGGGAGAUCACGCCAAGAGGGAGAUGGAGACCGGCGACAAGCCCACUACGAGCCACGGGAGUACUUCAUCGGAAGAGUCCCGCACCAAGAGGAAGGAGAAGAAGAAGGACUCAUCCAAAGGGAAGAAGUCUUCUUCACACUCCAAAGGGAAGGAGAAGAAAUCCUCUUCUCACCACAAAGAGAAGAAGGAAAAUUCUUCUUCCCACAAGCCGCAUCGGAGUGGGGACAAGAAGAAGAGGAUGAGGAAGGUGGUCUACUACGAGACCGAUUCUUCAUCAACAUCCACCUCCGGCUCCGACGCGGCGUCCGUCACUUCUAAGCGCCAAGAGCGUAAGAAGUAUAGUAAGAUUCCCCUACGCUACCCUCGCAUUUCUAAACAUACACCUUUACUUUCCGUCCCAUUAGGAAAACCACCAACUUUUGAUGGUGACGAUUACGCUAGGUGGAGUGAUUUAAUGCGAUUUCAUCUAACCUCGCUCCACAAAAGUAUAUGGGAUGUUGUUGAGUUCGGUGCACAGGUACCAUCCGUAGGGGAUGAAAAUUAUGAUGAGGACGAGGUGGCCCAAAUCGAGCACUUCAACUCUCAAGCUACAACCAUACUUCUCGCCUCUUUAAGCAAGGAGGAGUACAACAAAGUGCAAGGGUUGAAGAAUGCAAAGGAGAUUUGGGACUUACUCAAGACCGCGCACGAAGGUGAUGAACUCACCAAGAUCACCAAGCGGGAAACGAUCGAGGGGGAGCUCGGUCGCUUCCGUCUUCGCCAAGGAGAGGAGCCACAAGAUAUGUACAACCGGCUCAAAACCUUGGUGAACCAAGUGCGCAACCUCGGGAGCAAGAAAUGGGAUGAUCACGAGGUGGUUAAGGUUAUUUUAAGAUCGCUUAUUUUCCUUAACCCUACUCAAGUACAAUUAAUUCGUGGCAACCCAAGAUAUACACUAAUGACUCCCGAGGAAGUUAUCGGGAAUUUUGUGAGCUUUGAAUGUAUGAUUAAAGGCUCAAAGAAGAUCAACGAGCUUGACGAACCCUCCACGUCCGAAGCGCAACCGGUGGCAUUUAAGGCGACGGAGGAGAAGAAGGAGGAGUCUACACCGAGUAGACAACCAAUUGACGCCUCCAAGCUCGACAAUGAGGAGAUGGCUUUAAUCAUCAAAAGCUUUCGCCAAAUCCUCAAGCAACGGAAGGGGAAGGAUUACAAAUCCCGUUCCAAGAAGGUUUGCUACAAGUAUGGUAAGCCCGGUCAUUUCAUUGCAAAAUGUCCUAUAUCUAGUGACAGUGACAGGGGCGACGACAAGAAGGGAAAGAGGAGAGAAAAGAAGAAGUACUACAAGAAGAAGGGCGGCGAUGCCCAUGUUUGCCGGGAGUGGGACUCCGACGAGAGCUCCACCGAGUCCUCCUCCGACGAGGACGCCGCCAACAUCGCCGUCACCAAGGGACUCCUCUUCCCCAACGUCGGCCACAAGUACCUCAUGGCCAAGGACGGCAAAAAGAAGAAGGUUAAAUCUAAAUCCUCCACUAAAUAUGAGUCUUCUAGUGAUGAUAAUGCUAGUGAUGAGGAGAAUAACUUGCGUACCCUUUUUGCCAACCUUAACAUAGAACAAAAAGAAAAAUUAAACGAAUUGAUUAGUGCUAUUCAUGAGAAGGAUGAUCUCUUGGACUCUCAAGAGGACUUCCUUAUUAAGGAAAACAAAAAGCAUGUUAAGGUUAAAAAUUCUUAUGCUCUACAAGUUGAAAAAUGUGAAAAAUUGUCUAGUGAGCUAAGCACUUGCCAUGAGACCAUUGACAACCUUAGGAAUGAAAAUGCUAAAUUAAUUGCUAAGGUUGAUUCCCAUGUUUGUAUUGAUUCAAUUUCCAAUCCUAGAGAUGAUAAUGUUGAUUUGCUUGCUAGGAUUGAUGAAUUGAAUAUUUCUCUUAAUAGCCUUAGGAUUGAAAAUGAAAAGUUAAUUGCUAAGGCUAAAGAUUUUGAUGUUUGCAACACUACUAUUUCCGACCUUAGAACUAAGAAUGAUAUGUUGCAUGCUAAGGUUAUAGAAUUAAAAUCUUGCAAACCCUCUACAUCUACCGUUGAGCACACCUCUAUUUGUACUAGAUGUAGAGAUGUUGAUAUCAAUGCUAUUCAUGAUCACAUGGCUUUAAUUAAACAACAAAAUGAUCAUAUAGCAAUAUUAGAUGCUAAAAUUGCCGAGCAUAACUUAGAAAAUGAAAAGUUUAAAUUUGCUAGAAGUAUGCUCUAUAAUGGGAGACGCCCUGGCAUCAAGGAUGGCAUUGGCUUCCAAAGGGGAGACAAUGUCAAACUUAAUGCCCCUCCUAAAAAUUUGUCUAACUUUGUUAAGGGCAAGGCUCCCAUGCCUCAGGAUAACGAGGGUUACAUUUUAUACCCUGUCGGUUAUCCCGAGAGCAAAAUUAGGAGAGUUCAUUCUAGGAAGUCUCACUCUGGCCCUAACUAUGCUUUUUUGUAUAAGGGUGAGACAUCUAGCUCUAGGCAACCAACCCGUGCCAAGUUGCCUAGAAAGAAAACUCCUAAUGCAUCAAAUGAUCAUAGCAUUUCAUUUAAGACUUUUGAUGCAUCUUACGUUUUGACUAACAAAUCCGGCAAGGUAGUUGCCAAGUUUGUUGGGGGCAAACACAAGGGCUCCAAAACUUGCGUUUGGGUACCCAAAGUUCUUGUUUCUAAUGCCAAAGGACCCAAAACCGUUUGGGUACCUAAAGUCAAGAACUAAAAUUGUUUUGUAGGUUUAUGCAUCCGGGGGCUCAAGUUGGAUACUCGACAGCGGGUGCACAAACCACAUGACAGGGGAGAAGAAGAUGUUCUCCUCAUAUGAGAAAAACCAGGAUCCCCAACGAGCUAUCACAUUCGGGGAUGGAAAUCAAGGUUUGGUCAAAGGUUUGGGUAAAAUUGCUAUAUCACCUGACCAUACUAUUUCCAAUGUUUUUCUUGUAGACUCUUUAGAUUACAGUUUGCUUUCUGUAUCUCAAUUAUGUCAAAUGGGCUACAACUGUCUCUUUACUGAUGUAGGUGUCACUGUCUUUAGAAGAAGUGAUGAUUCAAUAGCAUUUAAGCGUGUGUUAGAGGGUCAGCUAUACUUGGUAGAUUUUGAUAGAGCUGAACUCGACACAUGCUUAAUUGCUAAGACUAACAUGGGUUGGCUCUGGCAUCGCCGACUAGCCCACGUUGGGAUGAAGAAUCUUCAUAAGCUUCUAAAGGGAGAGCACAUUUUAGGACUAACAAAUGUUCAUUUUGAGAAAGACAGGAUUUGUAGCGCAUGCCAAGCAGGAAAGCAAGUUGGGUCUCAUCAUCCACACAAGAACAUCAUGACAAGUGACAGGCCACUGGAGCUCCUUCACAUGGAUUUAUUCGGCCCGAUCGCUUACAUAAGCAUCGGCGGGAGUAAGUACUGUCUAGUUAUUGUGGAUGAUUAUUCUCGCUUCACUUGGGUGUUCUUUUUGCAGGAAAAAUCUCAUACCCAAGAGACCUUAAAGGGAUUCUUGAGACGGGCUCAAAAUGAGUUCGGCUUAAGGAUCAAGAAAAUUAGAAGCGACAACGGGACGGAGUUCAAGAACUCACAAAUAGAAGGAUUUUUUGAGGAGGAGGGCAUCAAGCAUGAGUUCUCUUCUCCCUACACCCCACAACAAAAUGGUGUAGUGGAGAGGAAGAAUCGAACUCUAUUGGACAUGACAAGAACCAUGCUUGAUGAGUACAAGACACCGGAUCGGUUUUGGGCCGAAGCGGUCAACACCGCCUGCUACGCCAUCAACCGGUUAUAUCUACACCGAAUCCUCAAGAAGACAUCCUAUGAACUCCUAACCGGUAAAAAGCCAAAUAUUUCAUAUUUUAGAGUUUUUGGUAGCAAAUGUUUUAUUCUUGUCAAAAGAGGAAGAAAAUCUAAAUUUGCUCCUAAAACUGUAGAAGGCUUUUUACUAGGAUAUGACUCAAACACAAGGGCAUAUAGAGUCUUUAACAAGUCCUCAGGACUUGUUGAAGUUUCUUGUGACGUUGUGUUUGAUGAGACUAACGGCUCUCAAGUAGAGCAAGUUGAUCUUGAUGAGAUAGGUGAAGAACAGGCUCCAUGCAUCGCGCUAAGGAACAUGUCCAUUGGGGAUGUGUGUCCUAAGGAAUCCGAAGAGCCUCCAAAUGCACAAGAUCAACCAUCCUCCUCCACUCAAGCAUCUCCACCAACCCAAAAUGAGGACGAGGCUCAAGAUGAAACCUAUGCACCCGUAGCUUGGCUCGAGUCCAUUCGUAUAUUAUUAGCCUAUGCUACUUACCAUGGCUUCAAGCUUUACCAAAUGGACGUGAAGAGUGCCUUCCUCAAUGGACCAAUCAAGGAAGAGGUCUAUGUUGAGCAACCUCCCGGCUUUGAAGACAGUGAGUAUCCUAACCAUGUUUAUAGGCUCUCUAAGGCGCUUUAUGGGCUCAAGCAAGCCCCAAGAGCAUGGUAUGAAUGCCUAAGAGAUUUCCUUAUUGCAAAUGGCUUCAAAGUCGGCAAGGCCGAUCCUACUUUAUUCACUAAAACUCUUGACAAUGAUUUGUUUGUAUGCCAAAUUUAUGUUGAUGAUAUUAUAUUUGGGUCUACUAACGAAUCUACUUGUGAAGAAUUUAGUAGGAUCAUGACACAGAAAUUCGAGAUGUCUAUGAUGGGGGAGUUGAAGUAUUUUCUAGGAUUCCAAGUCAAGCAACUCCAAGAAGGCACCUUCAUUAGCCAAACGAAGUAUACUCAAGACAUUCUAACCAAGUUUGGAAUGAAGGAUGCCAAGCCCAUCAAGACACCCAUGGGAACCAAUGGGCAUCUCGACCUCGACACGGGAGGUAAAUCCGUCGAUCAAAAGGUAUACCGGUCGAUGAUAGGUUCAUUACUCUAUUUAUGUGCAUCUCGACCGGACAUUAUGCUUUCCGUAUGCAUGUGUGCAAGAUUCCAAUCCGACCCUAAGGAAUCUCACCUUACGGCCGUAAAACGAAUCUUGAGAUAUUUGGCUUAUACUCCUAAGUUUGGGCUUUGGUACCCUCGGGGAUCCAUAUUUGAUUUGAUUGGUUAUUCGGAUGCCGAUUGGGCGGGGUGUAAGAUUAAUAGAAAGAGCACAUCGGGGACUUGCCAGUUCUUGGGAAGAUCCUUGGUGUCUUGGGCUUCAAAGAAGCAAAAUUCGGUCGCUCUUUCUACUGCCGAAGACGAGUAUAUUGCCGCAGGUCAUUGUUGUGCGCAAUUGCUUUGGAUGAGGCAAACCCUGUGGGACUAUGGUUACAAAUUAACCAAAGUUCCUCUUCUAUGUGAUAAUGAGAGUGCAAUCCGCAUGGCGGAUAAUCCCGUUGAGCAUAGCCGCACUAAACACAUAGCCAUUCGGUAUCAUUUUCUUAGGGAUCACCAACAAAAGGGGGAUAUCGAGAUUUCAUACAUUAACACUAAAGAUCAAUUAGCUGAUAUCUUUACCAAGCCACUUGAUGAACAAUCUUUUACCAAACUUAGGCAUGAGCUCAAUAUUCUUGAUUCGAGGAAUUUCUUUUGCUAAUUUGCACACAUAGCUUAUAAAUAUACCUUUGAUCAUGUCUCCUUUAUAUAUGCUAUGACUAAUGUGUUUCUCAAGUGUAUUUCAAACCAAGUCAUAGGCAUAUUGAAAGGGAAUUGGAGUCUUCGGCGAAGACAAAGGCUUCCACUCCACUCUACUACUCAUCCUUCGUCGUCGCUCCGCAUCUCUCUCCAUCUUUGGUAUAAUCUUCACUCAUAUGUUUUAUUUGCCAAAGGGGAGAUAGUAGUCAAGCAAAGGGCCUAUAUUUCAUUCCAAGUAUCUGUUUUUGGCGAUUCAUGCCAAAGGGGGAGAAAGUAUUGGCCCAAAGCAAAAGGACCGCACCAACACCCUAAUUUUUAAAAUUAAUGAUUUUCAAUUGGUAAAUUUCAAAUUGGUAUCUCUUUGUGUUCUAAAGGGGGAGCAAGUAGUAUUUUCAAAACUUGAUAUCUCAAAACCCUCUUGAACACUAAGAGGAGAAUUUAUUUGAGGGGGAGUUUUGUUUAGUCAAAGGAAAAGCAUUUGAAACAAGGGGAGAAAAUUUCAAAUCUUGAAAAUGCUUCGCAAAAUCUUAUUCAUUUACCUUUGACUAUGUUGCAAAAGGACUUUGAAAAGGAUUUACAAAAAGAAUUUGCAAAAACAAAACAUGUGGUGCAAGCGUGGUCCAAAAUGUUAAAAAUAAAGAAACAAUCCAUGCACAUCUAGUAAGUAACAUUUAUUGGCUCAAUUCCAAGCAACCUUUGCACUUACAUUAUGCAAACUAGCUCAAUUAUGCACUUUUAUAUUUGCUUUGGUUUGUGUUGGCAUCAAUCACCAAAAAGGGGGAGAUUGAAAGGGAAUUAGUCUUACACCUAGUCCCUAAUUAAUUUUGGUGGUUGAAUUGCCCAACACAAAUAUUUGGACUAACUAGUUUGCUCUAGUGUAUAAGUUAUACAGGUGCCAAAGGAUCACACUUAGCAAAUAAAAAGACCAAGUAUUGGGUUCAAACAAAGGAGCAUGGGACAACCGAAGGAACAUCUUCUCUGGCGCACCGGACUGUCCGGUGUGCCACCGGACAUGUCCGGUGCACCAGAGGACUCCAACUCCAAACUCGUCACCUUCGGGAAUUUCCAGAGGCGACUCCGCUAUAAUUCACCGGACUGUUCGGUGUACACCGGACAUGUCCGGUGCUCCAAGGAAGAACGACCUCCAGAACUCGCCAGCCUCGGGAAUUCAGAACGGCUGCUCCGCUAUAAUUCACCGGACUGUCCGGUGUAACAGCGGGGCAACGGCUAUUUCGGCGCCAACGGCUACCUGCGACGCAUUAAAUGCGCGCGCUGCGCGCGCAGAGGUCAGACACGCCCAUGCUGGCGCACCGGACAAUCUACAGAGCAUGUCCGGUGUGCCACCGGACAUCCAGGCGGGCCCAGAAGACAGAGCUCCAACGGUCGAACCCAACGACUUUUGGUGACGUGGCUGUCGCACCGGACAUGUCCGGUGUGCACCGGACUGUCCGGUGCGCCAUCGAACAGACAGCCUCACCAAACGGCUAGUUUGGUGGUUGGGGCUAUAAAUACCCCCAACCACCCACCAUUCAUUGCAUCCAAGUUUUCCACUUCUCAACUACUUACAAGAGCUCUAGCAUUCAAUUCUAGACACACCAAAGAGAUCAAAUCCUCUCCAAAUUCCACACAACGCCUUAGUGAUUAGAGAGAGAGAUUUGCUUGUGUUCUUUCGAGCUCUUGCGCUUGGAUUGCUUUCUUCUUUCUUGAUUUCUUCUUGCGAUCAAGCUCACUUGUAAUUGAGGCAAGAGACACCAAUCUUGUGGUGGUCCUUGUGGGAACUUUGUGUUCCAAGUGAUUGAGAAGAGAAAGCUCACUCGGUCCGAGGGACCGUUUGAGAGAGGGUAAGGGUUGAAAGAGACCCGGCCUUUGUGGCCUCCUCAACGGGGAGUAUGUUUGAGAGAACCGAACCUCGGUAAAACAAAUCCGCGUGUCUCACUUCAUUAUUCGCUUGCGAUUUGUUUUGCACCCUCUCUUUCGCGGACUCUAUUAUAUUUCUAACGCUAACCCGGCUUGCAGUUGUGAUUAUUUUUGAGAAUUUCAGUUUCGCCCUAUUCACCCCCCCCCCUCUAGGCGACUUUCAGUUCCCAUCACCGAAUAUGAUUGAAUCUUGGGAAUCCUUAUUCUUGACGUAGGAGGUGAACAUCUUCUUUUCCCCCGUCAUAUGGUUCGUGCAUCCGCUGUCGAUAAUCCAGCUUGAACCCCCGGAUGCAUAAACCUGCAAGGCAAAUUUAGGCUUGGGUCUUAGGUACCCAACUCUUGUUGGGUCCUACAAGGUUAGUCACAAUUGUAUUAGGGACCCAAAUGCAAGUUUUAUCACCCUUGCAUUUUGCCCCUAAUUUCCUAGCAACUAUCUUCCUAUCCUUUCUACAAAUAGCAAAGGAAGCAUUUAAAGCAUGAUAAAUUAUAGAGGGUCCAUUCAUAACUUUUCUAGGAACAUGAACAAUAUUCUUUCUAGGCACAUGAUGAAUAUUUUUCCUAGGCAUAUCUCUACCAUGCAUAUAGGAAGAACUGGGAGCAAACAUAGCAUAAGAAUCAUAGCCAUGUGAAUCAAAAGCAUUACAACUCCUAUGAGACUGUCUUCUAUCAUUGUACAUAAACGCAUGGUUCUUUUUAGUACUACUUGCCAUAGGGGCCUUCCCUUUCUCCUUGGCGGAGAUGAGAGCCUUAUGGCUUGUUAAGUUCUUGGCUUCCCUCUUGAAGCCAAGCUCAUCCUUAAUUGAGGGGUGUCUACCAACCGUGUAGGCAUCCCUAGCAAAUUUUAGUUUAUCAAAAUCACUUUUGCUAGCCUUAAGUUGGGCAUUAAGACUAGCCAUUUCAUCAUUUAACUUUGCAAUAGAAGCUAUGUGUUCACUACAAGCAUCAAUAUCAAAAUCUUUACAUCUAUUGCAAAUAACAACAUUUUCUACACAAGUUGUUGAUUUACUAGCUAUUUCUAACUUAGCAUUCAAAUCAUCAUUAAUGCUUCUUAAGCUAGAAAUUGUCUCAUGGCAAGAAGAUAAUUCACAAGAAAGCAUUUCAUUUCUCUUAUCUUCUAAGGCAUGAGAUUUUUGUGCUUCUACAAAUUUGUCAUGUUCUUCAUACAACAAGUCCUCUUGUUUUUCUAAAAGCCUAUUCUUAUCAUUCAAGGCAUCAAUCAAUUAAUUAAUUUUAUCUACCUUGGUUCUAUCUAGGCCCUUAAAUAAACAUGAAUAAUCUAUUUCAUCCUCAUCACUAGAUUCGUCCUCACUUGAAGAAGCAUAAGUAGAGUUUCGAGUACAUACCUUCUUCUCCCUUGCCAUAAGGCAUGUGUGACGCUCGUUGGGGAAGAGGGAUGACUUGUUGAAGGCGGUGGCGGUGAGUCCUUCAUUGUCGGAGUUGGACGAGGAGCAAUCCGAAUCCCACUCCUUGCCAAGAUGUGCCUCGCCCUUUGCCUUCUUAUAGUUCUUCUUCUUCUCCCUCUUGUUCCCUUGAUCCUGAUCACUAUCAUUAUCGGGACAGUUAGCAAUAAAAUGACCAAGCUUACCACAUUUGAAGCAUGAGCGCUUCCCCUUUGUCUUGGUCUUGCUUGGCUGUCCCUUGCGACCCUUAAGCAUCGUCUUGAAGCGCUUGAUGAUGAGGGCCAAUUCUUCAUCAUUUAGCCCUGCCGCCUCAACUUGCGCUACCUUGCUAGGUAACGCCUCCUUGCUCCUUGUUGCCUUGAGAGCAAUGGGUUGAGGCUCAUGGAUUGGACCGUUCAACGUGUCGUCCACGUACCUCUCCUCCUUGAUCAUCAUUCGCCCGCUUACGAAUUUUCCAAGGACUUCUUCGGGCGACAUUUUGGUGUACCUGGGAUUCUCACGAAUAUUAUUCACCAAAUGAGGAUCAAGAACGGUAAAGGACCUUAGCAUCAGUCGGACGACGUCGUGGUCCGUCCAUCGCGUGCUUCCGUAGCUCCUUAUUUUGUUGAUAAGGGUCUUGAGCCGGUUGUAUGUUUGGGUUGGCUCCUCGCCCCUUAUCAUCGCGAAUCGUCCAAGCUCGCCCUCCACCAACUCCAUCUUGGUGAGCAAGGUGACGUCAUUCCCCUCAUGAGAAAUCUUGAGGGUGUCCCAGAUCUGCUUGGCAUUGUCCAAGCCGCUCACUUUAUGGUACUCGUCCCUGCACAAGGAGGCUAACAACAUAGUAGUGGCUUGUGCAUUUCUAUGAAUUUGUUCAUUAAUGAAAAUAGGACUAUCCGAGCUAUCGAACUUCAUUCCACUUUUCACAAUCUCCCAUAUGCUCGGAUGGAGAGAGAACAGGUGACUACGCAUUUUGUGGCUCCAAAAUCCGUAGUCCUCUCCAUCAAAGUGAGGAGGUUUGCCAAGUGGAAUGGAGAGCAAAUGAGUAUUUGUACUUUGCGGAAUACGAGAGUAGUCAAAAGAAAAGUUCGAAUUAACCGGUUUCCUUCUCUCGUAGUCGUUGUGGUCGUCGUCCUUUUGGGAAGAAGAUGACUCGUCGCUGUCGUCGUAGUAGACAAUCUCCUUGAUGUGCCUUGUCUUCUUCUUCUUCCCAUCUUUCCGUCUAUGGCCCGAGCCCGAGUCGGUAAGCUUGUCAUCCUUCGGCUCGUUGACGAAAGAUUCCUUCUCUUUAUCGUUGAUCAUGAUACCCUUCCCCUUAGGAUCCAUCUCUUCGGGCGGUUAGUCCCUUUGUGAAGAGAACGGCUCCGAUACCAAUUGAGAGCACCUAGAGGGGGGUGAAUAGGUGAUCCUGUAAAACUUGAAAACUUAAGCCACAAAAACUUGGUUAAGCGUUAGCACAGUAAAUGCCAAGUGGCUAGAGAGGAGUCUCAACAAAACACAAUAACCACAAGAAAUCAAUCACAGAGAUGGCACGGUGGUUAUCCCGUGGUUCGGCCAAGACCAACGCUUGCCUACUCCACGUUGUGGCGUCCCAACGGACGAGGGUUGCAAUCAACCCCUCUCAAGCGGUCCAAAGACCCACUUGAAUACCACGGUGUUUUGCUUGCUUUUCUCAAUCCCGUUUGCGAGGAAUCUCCACAACUUGGAGCCUCUCGCCCUUACACUUGAAGUUCACAAAGAAGCACAAAGCAAGGGAGGAUUAGCAAUGCACACAAGACACAAGAAUCAGAGUGUCAACAUGCACACAAGUCGCAACAAGAGCUCGCAACAUAACUCAAUGAGUUCACAACUCCACUAGAGCUCUAUAUGCUAUCACAAUGAAACAAAUGCGCGGAAUCGAGGUCUUGGUGCUUAGGAAUGUUGCAGGAAUGCUUGGUGUACUCCUCCAUGCGCCUAGGGGUCCCUUUUAUAGCCCCAAGGCAGCUAGGAGCCGUUGAGAGCAUUCUAGGAAGGCUGAUCUUGCCUUCUGUCGACUGGCGCACCGGACAGUCCGGUGCACACUGGACACUGUCUGUUGCCCGAUUUCCUUCCAAAAAUGGCGCAGUCGACCGUUGGUAGCCUGAGAGCCGUUGGCGCACCGGACAUGUCCGGUGCACACCGGACAGUCCGAUGCCUCCUUCUAGCCGUUGGCUCGGCCACGUGUCCCGCGCAGAUUGCGCGGCCGACCGUUGGCCCGGCCGACCGUUGGCUCACCGGACAGUCCGGUGCACACCGGACAGUCCGGUGAAUUAUAGCCGUACGUCGCCGGUGAAUUCCCAAGAGCGGCCACUUCGCUCGAGCCAGCCUGGCGCACCGGACACUGUCCGGUGCACCACCGGACAGUCCGGUGCUCCCAGACUCAGCAGAGUCUUGGCUGCUCAAGCCAAGACAUUUUCAAUUGGUUUUUUCCUGUUUCCAGCACUUAGACACAAUACAUUAGUCCACAAAACAAUGUACUAAGUCUGAGAAACAUACCUUUAUCCUUGAUUUGUACUUUGUCCACCUUUUUACACUUAGGCACUUGUUGGGCACUAAAUCACCAAAAUACUUAGAAAUGGCCCAAGGGCACAUUUCCCUUUCAAUUAGAAACAAGCACCUUGGGUACCCAAACACAAGUCUUUGACCUCUUGUGUUUGCCCCCAACAUAUUUGGCAACUACUUUGCCUGAUUUGUUAGUGAGCACAUAAGAAUCAUCAAAAGUUUUAAAUGAAAUAUUAGGUUCAUUUGAUGCAAUAGGAGUUUUCUUCUUAGGCAAUUUAUCAUGAGUUGAUCGCCUAGAAUUAGAUGCCUCACUCUUAUACAUGAAAGCGUGAUGAGAGCCAGAGUGAGACUUCCUAGAGUGAAUUCUCCUUAUUUUGUGAUCGGGAUAACCGGCAGGGUAUAAAAUGUAACCCUCGUUAUCCUGAACCAUGGGAGCCUUGCCCUUAACAAAGUUGGACAAUUUCUUAGGGGCAUUGAGUUUGACAUUGCCUCCCUGUUGGAAGCCAAUGCCAUCCUUAAUGCCAGGACGUCUCCCACUAUAGAGCAUGCUUCUAGCAAAUUUAAAAUUUUCAUUUUCUAAGUCAUGCUCAUUAAUUUUGGCACUAAGUUGAGCUAUGUGAUCAUUUUGUUGUUUAAUUAAAGCUAGGUGAUCAUGAAUAGCAUCAACAUUAAUGUCUCUACAUCUAGUGCAGAUAGUAACAUGCUCAACGGUAGAUGUAGAGGGUUUGCAAGUAUCUAAUUCAACAAUCUUAGCCUGUAAAAUAGCAUUCUCAUCUCUAAGUUUGGAAAUAGAAGCAUUGCAAACAUUUAAAUCUUUAGCCUUAGCAAUUAAUUUUGCAUUUUCAUUUCUAAGGCUAGAAAUAGAGUCAUGGCAAGUGCUUAGCUCACUCGUUAAUUUUUCACAUUUUUCUACCUCUAGAGCAUAAGCAUUUUUAGUCUUAACAUGCUUUUUGUUUUCCUUAAUAAGUCCUCUUGGCUAUCCAAGAGUUCAUCCUUCUCAUGAAUAGCACUAAUCAAUUCAUUCAAUUUCUCUUUUUGUUGCAUGUUAAGAUUGGCAAAAAGAGUAAGCAAGUUAUCCUCAUCAUCACUAGAACUAUCCUCAUCACUGGAGGUUGCAUACUUAGUGGAGGAUCUUGAUUUUACCUUCUUCUUCUUGUCGUCCUUUGCCAUAAGGCACUUGUGGCCGACGUUGGGGAAGAGAAGCCCUUUGGUGACGGCGAUGUUUGUGGCGUCCUCGUCGAAGGAGGAGUCGGUGGAGCACUCGUCGGAAUCCCACUCCCGGCAAACAUGAGCAUCGCCGCCCUUCUUCUUGUAAUAUCUCUUCUUUUCCUUCUUCCUUCCCCUCUUGUCAUCACCCCUGUCACUGUCACUAGAAAUAGGACAUUUUGCUAUAAAGUGACCGGGCUUACCACAUUUGUAGCAAACCUUCUUGGAGCGGGGCUUGUAGUCCUUCCCCCUCCUUUGCUUGAGGAUUUGGCGAAAGCUCUUGAUGAUGAGCGUCAUCUCCUCAUUGUCGAGCUUGGAGGCGUCGAUGGGAAUCCUACUUGGUAUAGAAUCCUUGUUUUCUUCUUCCGUCGCCUUGAAUGCGAUGGGUUGCACCUCGGGUGUUGAGGUGGUGCCUUGCUCGAUGAUUUUCUUGGAGCCUUUGAUCAUCAAUUCAAAGUUCACAAAUUUUCCUAUCACUUCCUCGGGAGACAUUAGUUUAUACCUUGAAUCACCACGAAUUAAUUGAACUUGUGUAGGGUUAAGAAAAACGAGUGAUCUAAGAAUAACCUUGACCAUCUCAUGGUCAUCCCAUUUGGUGCUCCCGAGGUUGCGCACUUGGUUCACCAAGGUCUUGAGCCGGUUGUACAUCGCUUGUGGCUCCUCCCCUUGGUGAAGCAUGAAUCGACCGAGCUCCCCCUCGAUCGUCUCCGUCUUGGUGAUCUUGGUCACCUCGUCUCCUUUGUGCGCAGUCUUGAGCACGUCCCAAAUCUCCUUUGCACUCUUCAACCCUUGCACCUUAUUGUACUCCUCUCGACUUAGAGAGGCGAGGAGUAUAGUAGUGGCUUGGGAGUUGAAGUGUUGGAUUUGUUCGACCUCCUCCGAAUCAUAAUUCGUGUCCCCUUCCUUUGGUACCUGCGCUCCAUACUCAACAAUAUCUCAUAUGCUUUUGUGGAGUGAGGUUAGGUGAUGCCUCAUUUUAUCACUCCACAUAGAAUAAUCUUCACCAUCAAACAUAGGUGGUUUGCCUAAUGGGACGAAAAGUAAUGGAGUGCAUUUUGAAAUACGAGGAUAGCAAAGGGACAUCUUACUAUACUUCUUGCGCUCAUGGCGCUUAGAAGUGGCGGAUGCCGAUUUCAAUCUGGAGGUGGAGGAUGACGAAGAGUCAGUCUCGUAGUAGACCACCUUCUUCAUUUUCUUCUUCUUGUCACCCUUCCGUUGGGACUUGAUGGAGGAAGAGGAUUCCUCCUUGUGCUUGUGGGCGGACUCCCUUGAGUGUGUUCUCCUCGAUCUUGCGGACUUGUCGCCGGUCUCGAUGUCCCUCAUGGCGGAUGCUCCCGACAUUACUUCGAGCGGUUAGGCUCUAAUGAAGUGCCGAGCUCUGAUAUCAAUUGAAAGUCGCCUAGAGGGGGGUGAAUAGGCAAGUCUGAAAUUUAUGAAGUUUAAGCACAACUACAAACUGAGGUUAGCGUUAGAAAUAUAAACGAGUCCGAAAGAGAGGGCGAAAACAAAUCACAAGCGAAUAAGAGCGGAUGACAUGGUGAUUUGUUUUACCGAGGUUCGGUUCUUGCAAACCUACUCCCCGUUGAGGUGGUCACAAAGACCGGGUCUCUUUCAACCCUUUUCCUCUCUCAAACGGUCACUUAGACCGAGUGAGCCUUUCUCUUCAAUCAAAUGGGACACUAAGUCCACUACAAGGACCACCACAACUUGGUGUCUCUUGUUUUGAUUACAAGUGAGUUGAACACAAGAAAGAAGAAAGAAGAAAAACAAUACAAGCGCAAGAGCUCAAAUGAACACAAAUGUCUCUCUCUCUAGUCACUAAUUUGGUUGGAGUGAUUCCGGACAUGGGAGAGGAUUUGAUCUCUUUGAUUGUGUCUUUGAAUGAAGUCUAGAGCUCUUGUAUGUGGUUUGAUGGCUGAAAACUUGGAUGCCAUGAAUGAUGGGUGGUUGGAGGUAUUUAUAGCCCCAACCACCAAAGUGACCGUUGGUGAGGGCUUGUGUCGCAUGGCGCACCGGACAGUCCGGUGCGCCACCGGACACUGUCCGGUAUGCCAGCCACGUCACCCGGCCAUUGGGUUCUGACUGUUGGAGCUUCUGACAGGUGGGCCACCGGACAGUUCGGUGGUACACCGGACAAUCACUAUUCACUGUCCGGUGCGCCUUCUGGCGCUGCUCUGACUUCUGCGCACGCAGGCGCGCACUGUUCACUUUUAUUGUUUCGUUGCAGACGACCGUUGGCGCUGUGUAGCCGUUACUCCGGUGCUACACCGAACAGUCCAGUGAAUUAUAGAGGAGCGGCUCCCAGAAUUCCCGAAGGUGGCAAGUUCGGAGUUGGGUUCCCUGGUGCGUCGGAUACUGUCCGGUGGCACACCGGACAGUCCGGUGCGCCAGACCAGGGCAGCCUUCGGGUGUCUUUUGCUCUCUUUAUUUGAACCCUUUUCUUGGUAUUUUUAUUGGUUUGUUGUGAACCUUUGGCACCUGUAAAACUUAUAAUCUAGAGCAAACUAGUUAGUACAAUUAUUUGUGUUGGGUAAUUCAACCACCAAAAUUCAUAUAGGAAAAGGUGUAAGCCUAUUUCUCUUUCACUCUUCCCAUUAUACUAUUUCAGCACUUGUACUCCGCUAAGAAAUUCUCUCAAAUAUUAUAAAUAUUUUUUAUCAGAGACUAGGCAUUGGAGGAACUACGGAGAGGAUCAUAUGUGCAUUGCACACUAUUCUUAGUGAACAAGCAGAUGAGGAUGAUGACCUGGAAAAAAAUGCAAGACUACUAUGUGUCAUGUUGGAAAGAUGGAGAAGGACGUUGACAGUGCCUGUAGCAAAGGUAAUGUUUGUUGUCGGUCUGUCCGAAGUCCUGCAUUUUUGCUACUUAGUAGACGUUCUAAUGAUGUCCCUUGUAUGCAGCCGAAUAUCCUCGUUGCGAGGUUCUUUGCACAAAACUAAAAGGCGAAGAAACUAACAUUUUUCUUUUUUGUUCCUUGUGAUAUAGGGCCGGAAAGAUUGCAAGGGAUUUGAUGAGUUAUAUGCAAAAAAAAUAGAUGGUGCCCUUGAUCUGCCGUCUCAGGUAUGCAUGUUUUGCUACUCCUGUUACUACGAUUGAGCUCUUGUUAGUUGUUGUUAUUGGAUAACUUUUUCUGUAAUAUUUGCAUCCAUUUAUGACUACAACUUUUUUGUAUUAUUUUUUUGCCAUUUAUAACUACAACUAAUGCUUGUUCGUAAAUAGUUUGAUUUGAUUAGCCCAUGUCAGCAAUAAGAAUAUCCCAAAAAGCGAUAGAAAUCUGAGGUGUUUAAUUUUUAAGGGCUCGUUUGGCAACCUCAUUUACCCAAGAGAUUUUCAUUUUUCCAAUAUAAAUUAGUUUAUUUUUCCAUGAGGAAAUAGAAAUCCUUUGGGAAAACGGGUUUGACGGGUUCCCAAAGUAGCCCUAAGAAGGUGCUCGAUUCAUCGAGUAGCUCGGGUCCUGUGUAAUUGUAUCGGGUCCCCUUGAGCUGAUUUUGACCAGGGGAUGAAACAAAAAUGGAUAGCUCACUUAUUUUUUUGGGGGAAUUUCUACUUCUGGUAUAAAUACACCAGCAUCCUGUGUUGUUUGUUUACACAGCACCACACAUACUACUACCAGCUUUGUUUUCUGAUUGCCGUUUUUACUCUAUUUACACAAAAGGUCCCAUUUACUACCACUCUUACAUUUAGUACAAUGGGCCAGUCUGUAAUUUGUAGCUUUGUGCUUUUUGCCAUGGAUGGUGAACCACUGCCAUAAUUAUUGGGGCCUGCUUUAUUGAUGUGUACUAAAAAUCCAUACAAAUACACUUCACAUACAUCAUACUAGCCCGUAAUAUUUCUUUAUAUGAAUAGUCUGGGAAAGUCUUAACAAUAUUAAUGCAGCAGAACUGUAAAUUCAUAGUGCUCUGAAGAUGUAUGUACUACUGAAGAGUAUGACCUCAAACUGUACCAUGGCAUGGAAAUAAUAUCUUCUCAUUGUGAUCUCAUAUUCCCGAUAAGCUUUACUUUGGCACUUUGUCAGUUUAUAUAUCUUUAGAGCAUCUCCAAGAGCUCUCUAAAAAAUAACUCCUCAAAAUCAGUUUUAAGAAGCAUCUAAAAAAUUAGUGGGGUAGAUUUUAAUCUUUUUUUCCAACAAAUCUCUUAAAACGACAGAUUGUUUCUAGAGAGAGAAAAACUCUCAUUUAUAACUACAAAUAAAGGAGUUUUAAAGGCUAUGAAAAAGUUAUGAGCGUUUUAGGGACUGUUGGAGACAUGUUUUUGUGUUUUCCAAAAAAACUUGAUUUAGAAAAGACUUAUAAGAAGCUUUUGGAGAUGCUCUUAGAUCCCUCAGGAACCAUCAUUAUAUUUGUUUUCAUGCUAUAGAGUCAGACAAAGCAGAGCAAUCUCAAGAACAGAAGAAUAAGAAUGAUGCCAUCGCGAAUAUGGAGAAAGCCACUCAGGAGAAGUCAAAAGCUAUUACAUCUAUGGAGCACGAUUGCUUUCCUCUAGGUAUGCAAUUUAAAAAGCUAACCGUGAUAGUGAUGACGGGAAGGACGAGAGGAUUUGUUGUGUUGUAGCAACACAUUGACAUUGUACUCUGUAUUACUCCUUGGAUUUUAUAUUUCUACCAUCUAAGGGCUAGUUUGGGAACCCUAAUUUCCCAAGGGAUUUCUAUUUUCCCAAGGGAAAUUAGUUCAUUUUCCCAUAAGAAAAUAGAAAUCUCAUGGGAAAUUGAGGUUCCCAAACUAGCCCUAAAACACAUUUCCCUGUCUGGGAGAAGAAUCUUGCUCCAUGUGGUCGGGAUACUGAGUGAACUCAAUCCUCUAAACCGCUGACCAUAAAAAUACACCUGGAACGUGCCUAAAAAAGGUAGAAGCAUUUCUACAUUGAACAGCUGAGAAAUAGAAGAUUAUAUCAGCACUAAGAGGAUUGCCACAACAAAGUUUAUCAUCAAACAGAGUUACAAAGCAAUGUAUAAAGUAGCCAGCAAAUUCAUGGCGAGGAGUACCAUCCAUUUCCACACUCAAAAGAUGCAACACAUCCAAGGAGAAAAAGAUGAUCCAGACAAUGAGAACUCAAGAGUUCACCCUAGAACAACUUAAAACACGCAAGGCACAACUCCUGCUCAAGUUCAAGACUCAUGAUCCUUUCUACUCAAUCAGAUCAUCAUCGUCAUCAGGAAGAGGUUGUGCAGCUGCUGCAGCAAGCUCAGCUUCAUGCCUGAGCAAAUGAAAAGUGAAUCAGUUCCCGCAAUAUUUCAAAUUGAGGAGACACAUUAAAAGGAUAGUAGGACCAUAAUGAUUAUAAGUUGGAUGAAGACAAAAGGUGACACUCACUGCUGCUGCAUAGCCAUGUCGAUGGUAACUUCCGGAGGCUUAAGAGCAACAGCUUCA